rnacentral:lncRNA from 1 species
AAGUACAGUCGUUCAAAGUGAAAGAGAGUUUUCAAAGCUUAAUUACAAGUUCAUGUUAUUUACAAUAGCAAAAAGCUUUCAUUCUUGCUUACAAACUUGUAUUUCCAAGUUCUGUAAACCUUGGAAUUUCACUUCAUCCAAAUCCCCUUCCAAAGCAGGAAAAAAUGGCAGCAGCUUUGAUUGGAGAGGCUCUCAUCUCUGCUUCUAUCGAGGUGUUGUGUGACAGAGUUACUUCAGCCGAGUUCAUAGACUUAUUUCAGCAGAAGAACUUGAUGAAACACUCCUCAUGAACCUGAAGACAACACUGUUGAUUUUGUUUGCGGUGCUCAAUGAUGCAGAGGAGAAGCAAAUUGUGAACCCUGCUGUGAGAGAGUGGCUUAACAGCUCAAGCAUGCUGUCUUUGAUGCAGAGGACUUAUUUGAUGAGAUUGACACUGAAGCUUUGCGAUGCAAGCUGGAAGGUGAGGAUCAAACCCACAAUAGUUAACCAACAAGGAUCUUUUUGAUUGUUUGAAAGAAGAGUCUUUGAUGAUUUGAAAGGAGAGGGUUGCUUUAUUUCUGUUGGAUGCGUAAUUAAAUCUUAUUUGGAGUUGAACAAGGAUUAGAUUAGCUGUAUAAUUAGUGGUAAACGCCUUUUUCUAAGGGUCAUUUAGACUCCUAUUACGAUUAAUUUGUUGUUUCUAAUUUGGACUUAUAGGAACAGACCAAAUAUGUUCACACGUGGCAUCGCUCAAGUCAUCAUCAUUUCAGACUGAAAAUCAGCCUUCAAGUGUCUGUUGAGCCAAUAAACCUUUCUAGAUAUAUCAAGUGCAAUGGAAAUUCAUGAGUUACAUAGAGAUUUGUAAACAUUUUGAAGAUUGCAACACCUGCAAGUGAGAUAGGCGGUGACGAAAUCAGAGCUGAUUUUGAAGCCUCUGAUGCCCCUGUUGUUGCAAGUUGCACCUGAGAACAUGUUUUUUUUUUCUUUGGGGUAAAAAAACUGGCAACAUGUUCGGAGCUGACAAUUCAAUCCCUGAUGAACUAGAGAAGCGAAGCUCCGGUAAGGAAUUGGUCAAGGUUGUGACAGGGAUGAUUGAUGGUGAAAUGGAUGCUAUUUCUUAUUGCAGCCUGUUCUCAAAGUUCUUGUUGGCAAAUGCAAGAGAUGGAGUAUUUUGAUUGGGAGGAGAUAUAAUGACAUGGCUUGACAAUUCUAGAACAGCCCAUCAUUAAUCCCAGAAAAAAUCCAGUUUCUGCUAAACAAUCACUUAUGGCAAGGCCAACUCUGUAAAUGGAAUUUGUGAUCCCUUGAAAUUGUACACAUUUUUUCUUUUUGAGGAAUUUAAUCAAACAGUAUUCUAAUGUAUUAUGAUAGCACUACACGCUUUUGUUGUAACAAAUUACAAGGAGGAAUUUGGAUUGAGUUUCUUGUAUAAGCACACCUUACACAAAUUUGGUAUAUUUUCUUCCAGCAAGUCUGUUUAUUAACCCCCUUAUCUGAAAUUAAUUGUUAAAAGUUUUGAUUCAUCUUUAAUCAGUGUCUAACCCUUGUUGAAUAACACUCCUCUUUCUAAUUUAUAUUUGAAGUUUGAGGUUUCAAUUUCAAUUGUGGGCUUUGAUUUUACAGAUUUUGUUUGUCAAUUUCAGUUUGGACAAAGCAUAUGCAAACAAAAUAAGCAUUUUAUGUUAUACUUUUGAAAUAGGUGUUGAUUUGAUUUAAUCAUAAGUUUUGCUGGUGCAUUUACUAGGCUAUCAUUCAAUACUUUUGAUCAUAGAACUUCUUUGGUCGAUAUUAUCUUUGUUAAGUUUAACCAUAAAUUUAGAGAGGGGACUUCAACAGAUUUAUAAUCUCAUCAUUAUAGUAUUAAAAAUUAGAGAUUAAGGCAUUGUCUAUUAUCUGAAUUCUGCUUACUUUUAGUUCAUAUGUUUACAUCUUAGCAUAUUCAUGCGAUUAGUGCGGCUCAUACCACAAAGGCAACUUUAGGCUCAUCAAGUGCUAAGCAAUGUCAAGCUUCCAAGUGACAAGUUCUCUACAUAGUUUGAGACCUACACUUACUAGAUAUUAGAUCAUUUCGAUCAUUUCCAUAUGUUUAUAUGUAAUUGACAUGUUAUAACAAUUUUUGUAGCGUUAUAUAAUUAUUUAGCAAUUUAAUUAUUUCUUUGCAUCAAGAAAUAGUUCUUAAGUUAUUAAAAAAAAAAAAAAAGAUUUAAAAAAAAAGAUUUGUUGAUGCUUAAAAAGCAUCAAGAACAGGUAGUUUCUUGACGGUUUAGUGACGUUUCAUAACUGUAGGAGGCUUUUUCUUCCGACAGCUGUAAAUGGGCUGGGUUGCCGUAAAGGGCAGACUGAUGAAAUUGUCCCCUUUUGUCUGAGCUAGAAAAUUAAGCCCCAAAAUACUUCGAAAGGGCAGCAGAGCCUUAGGAAGUAUUUUGGUUACCCUCACCAACUAAAACAACAACAACUUACAGGUAAUUUCUUAAUGCUUACAGAUGAACUCUUGAGCUUGGCAUGAGAGACAUGUGGCAUGGAAGCAAAAUCAACAUGAGUUUAGCACUGAGGGGAAAUUUAGGCUCUCUUGGGGGAAAAAGGGAAGUGUUAAGGUGAGAGAGGAGAAGUUUGUAGGAGAUUUAGCUAAGAAAGGAGAAAUAUAGAACAAUGCUCUUCUGGCAGCUUGACAGAUGCUCUGUCUGCCAGAAAAGGAAGAUGGAGAAGAAAUGUGAAUAGUGCACGAGUUUGCUAGAUUUUUGCAGGUAAGAGAGGAAGCUUGCUCUCUGGGUCUGAGUUGAGUUUUGUUAGGUGGAAGAGACCUCAUUUUAUAGCUCCUGGAAACCAUCACUUCCCAAGAAACCCUAAUGGCUUCUACCCAUUUUGGCCAAGCUUUUCCAUUCCUUUCUCAUUUCCUUCCUUGACUUUACCCCUCUUGAUGAAAUCCUCUCUACCUAUUUGCACCAGAUCAGAGUUUUUUGAAGCUUAAGGCCCCCUUUUCCCGCAGUUGUCUCAAUGGGAGACUUUCAUUCCUAGUCAUUUCCUUUAUUGCUUUCCUUUCUUUUUUUCAUGGCCAAGUCUGGUGGGGAAAGGAGUUGGGAUAAAUAUGCUAGUUUGAAGGGUGCUUCUCUUCUUGGCAUCUUACACACUAAUACCCCUUGGUUCCUUGAAUGUUUUGGCUUUGAAACUUGCUCCCCUCCAUGUAUUGGAACCUCCCAGCAGCCCUGGUCAAUGAAUCUUCAGACCUUCUCUUCGUGGCUUUUAUUUUUUUAUCAACUGGCUAGGGCUUUUGUGGCUCAUUGGGGCAAUUGUAUGGGCUAAGGUGGUUCAUUAAGUAAGUGGGCUAUUUUUAUUAAACAUUGAGCUUUUUGGUUGAGUCACUAGGCUAUUUUGAUUGGGCUAUUGGGCUAUUGUUUCCUCUCUUGUGCUCACCCACAUGUUUGGACCAAAGAAAUGAGCUUGAGUCCUGAGGCUCCCAAGCGACCCGAGACUUUCCAUUUAUCGGUCCAUCAAUGGGCCUCAUGUUGAUUUAUUACCAUCCAUACCACACCCCACUCAAGCAAGCCCCGGGCAUUUGAGUGGCUUGGGCCCACUUAGGCUUGUAGUGUGGUUGGGUGCAAAAUAACGAUUUCGUGCUUGGCAUGUUUUAAUUUUAUCAUCCAUGGGAAAGGCUGCGAUGUUUGAUUUCGGCAUGGGCUUGUAGAGCUGGUAUGCUUUAUUUCAACUCCUAGCAUGACGAAUUAUUUAUUUAGCAUGGCACGUGAAUUACAACUCGCAUGUGGUGGGUUUUUGUGUACUACACCUUACGCCUCUUCUUAAUAGAACAUCGUUUCUGAUAAUUUAUUUGGGCCCAACCGUGAAUUUUUUGGAUCUCAAUAAUAACCAUCAUGAAACAUUACAUUUUGACUGACAUCAAGAAAUGGGGUAUCCCUUUCUUGAUAGUGGCAUCCAUGAUGCCUUCCAAGCCGUCAAUUAAGGGCUAUCGCGAUGCAUUUUAGUUGUCAGCAAAAGGUGUUUUUCUUGUACUAUAUUCACUCAAAAUCGUGUUUCAUUUAAGAUUAGUAGUAUGGUUGAAUACCAUUUGUUUUGUUAAAGAAUAUUAUACAUUAGGGAUUUUUGUAGAAAUGUCAUUUGAACUUAUACCUUAGUUUCAAUUUGUCACCUUGAAGAAAAAUUUAAGAGAAAUAUCACCUUAAUUUUUUAAAAUCCAUGAUUUGUCAUAUGACUUUAAGAUCAUCCAAUUUUCCAUCCAUUUUAAGGGUAUUUUAGACUUUUCAUUUUCAAGGAAAAAAAAGAGAUGAAAAAAGAGACCUCUCUCUUACUUUGUCCCCCAACCCAACCCCACCCGCCCCCAAAAACACAUCACAUAGGAUUGCCUCCCCCUUCCCCACUUUUCUUUUUUCUUUUUGUCAUACUUUUCCACUGUGUUUAUGUUGAAGGAUCUAAAGUUUGCUUGGUCACCAUCUUUUACGUAGGCUUCCUAAUUGUUGGUUUGGGUGGGUUGUGGGAAUUUGUGUGUGGAGGGCAAGGCUCUAUCUGACAGGACCCACCUCGAAUUCCUCGAAACCCGAGACGAAUCUUGUAGAAUUUCCGACAUCACACCGAUGCCGGGUCCACUUCUGAACUAAAUCCUCUUUUCCAAAAUUAAGGAAAAAUAGUACGAGGCUUUCUGCCAAAAUUUCGGCAGUCUUCCCUAUAAAUUUAACGUUUCAGCUUUGGAGGCCGUUCUUUCAUUUCUGCUUUGGUGGCCGGAUGAGAGAACGGCCGGCUAAAACGUGGCCAGCUGGCACUGCCGUCACGAGAGAGAGAGAGAGAGAGAGAGAGAGAGAGAGAGAGAGAGAGAGAGAGAGAGAGAGAGAGAGAGAGAGAGAGAUGUUUAUCAAACCAUUUUUGCCAAAAUUACGAUUAUGCAACUGAGGGUAUUUUGAUCGUAUCUUUUUCGUUAUAACUCCGAUUCAAGCCCACUACAUAUCUACGGACUCAUCUCGCCGUGCUCUAUGCAAUUGUAUAGUUGAAAUUCCCAAAUUCCAUCCCAGUCAAAAAGUCAACUUUAAACCUUAUAAAAUAUUCUAAGGGCAAAAUGGUCUUUUAUCUAAUUAAAUUAAUAAUUGAAAAUUUAUUUAGGACCGGGUCGUUACACUGUCGUUGAUGGACUGUGCGAUGGCACUCACACAAAGUCCUUAAGAAUAAAACACACACACACCAUGAAGAGAGUAAAACAAAUGCACAAAGAUUUAUAAAGGUUUGGCCUCCUGCCUACAUCCUCUUGGUGAUCCACCCGAGAAAUUCACUUGUACGUAAGAACAACUUUGGUUACAACUAAACCCCCUUAGCUUUCAUAAGAACCCUAGAUCUCUUUUCUCCCACCCUUGCUCCAACCCUUUGAUGCCCUUGUAAACACUCAAGAAUUCAUCCUUGAAUUCUAUCAUGUGUUACAUCUUCUCUUCUCCCCUUUGCCAACCUAACCCUACAAGUUAUAUUUAAAAUUCAUUGGACUUUAAGUACAAGUUAACUAGGAAUAGGAAACAUAAAAGACCCCAAAAAUUGGAGAAAAUAUGUCUAGAUCUCAUUAGGAAAUUGCACAACACGUGCGAUCCUCUCGAGCGCCUGCAAAAUCAUCCCUUUGCCGCUCGAGCUGCCGAUAGCUCAUGGGAUGGGGGAAUUAGAAAUUUUUUUUUUUCAAUUUUAAUUGUUUAAAAGAUAUACAAUUUAUUAAUAAUAAUUUUUCCAUUUUUAAAAUACCCUUGAAAAUAGAAAGAUUAAAAUGCCCUUAAAAAUGGAUGGAAAAUUGGAUGGUGUUAAGGUCAGAUGACAAAUCAUGGAUUUUGAAAAAUUAAGGUAACGUUUCUCUUAAAUUUUUCUUUACAGUGACAAAUUGAAAUUGAGGUAUAAGUUCAAGUUACAUUUCUGCAAAAAUUCUUAUACAUUAUGAUAUUCUAACAAUAAUUGGCUAAAAUUGAUAUGUUCCCUCUUUUAUUUUCUUUUUCUCUUUUCCUUUUCAUUUUAUGAUCCAAUCCUUUUCAUAUAUUUUUGUUCAAGACUUUGUUUUAUAAUGCUCUAUUACUAAUUUGGUACAGGUCCCUAAAAUCUCGGAGCCGCCUUAGUACAUUCAUAACGUACAUGUUCAGAGUUCAAGAAUAAUGUAUAGAAUGUGAAAUUGACGAUGCCGGCCUUUAUGAGGCAACAUCUUUAUUUCUUUGGUUAUUCCAGUUUAGAAUAUUUGCACAAAUGAGAUGACUCCAAGCAUAAAGUCACAUUCGACCAAAAAGCAUAAAGUCACACACAAAAAGAACACGGACAAUUGCUAAGUUUAUCCUUGUACCCUUAUUUUAUUGAUCCGACCCAAUUGAAAAAUAAAAAAAGAUGAUAAAAAAUAUUGUUCACUGCUUUAAAAUCUAUGAGUAGAGUCCUCCAUUUGAAAUUUGGUCAUUAUACAAAAUUGGAAUGAAAAAAGAAAAUCCUAAAGCUAUAUUUGAUAUAUUUCAUUUUCAUUUUUUGCUGGGUGUUAGGGCUCGUCAAUGGGCCGGGCCUGGCUAGCCCGGCCCGAAUUUAAUGGGCUUGGGCCAGGCCGGCCCAGGCUUUAAAGAGGAGAGAGAAAAUAUCAGGUCGAGUUUUUUAAGAAAAUUCAAAGCCCAAGCCUGACCCAUGAGCCGGGCUUGAGAAAGCCCAUCGGGCCGGGCCGGGCCUAAACGGGCCCUACUUCAUUCAAAAAAAAUCAUUAACUUAAUCAUAAGGUCAUUUUAGUCCAAAUUUGAGAUUAAACUCACUUAAUUCUAAUAUUUUUACUUCAAACCAAAUUCAUAAAACACCCAAUAAAGUCACACAACUUGUAAGAUUUUCCACAAAAAUAAUAAAACCAAGUAUUAUUUUUGAGGUUAUUACAUAAUUAGAUCGUAAUACGUUUUAAAAAAUAAUUUUUAAAAAUAAUAUUAAUAAGUAUCAAAAAAAUAUUUUUUUAAAGGAUGGUAUGAAUAAAUAUGCAAAUAUUUGGUGAUGUGUUCAAGAAAAGGAUGAUUAUAUUUGGUGGUACGAUUAUGUUUCGUGAUACGAUUAUAUUUAGUGAUGUGAUAUGUUGUUCAUCUUAUAUAUAUAUAUAUAUAUAAUUGUUGAACUAAUAAUUGACACAAAUUAAUGUGUUAAUCAUCCAAUUAUAAACUAGGAGUGAAUAAAGAAAAGUAAAUGAAAUGAAACAAAUUAUAUGUGUGAUUUAAGUGAUAUAAUCCUAAACCUAAACUCUUAUUUAUACAUAAUUAUAUAUGUAUGCGGGCCUAACGGGCCGGACUUUUGUGGGCGUGUCGGGCCGGGCUUUCUUGGGCUUAAUCAGGCUGGACCUAUGGGUCAGGCCGGGCUUCAAACACCCCAACACGAGCCUAGCCUAGCCCGCCUUGGGCCGGGCCAUCUCAAAGCCCAUAACGAGCCGGAUCGGGCUUUUUUCGAUUGGCCGGGCGGGCCCCCUCGACCCAUGAGCCCGCGGGCCAAAUGAUGAGGCCUACUGGGUGUUCAAUUUUUCUUGUUUCUUGUUGAAAAGAAAAAUGAUAAUUAAUAAAAUCUGAUUUGGUGGUUGUGCUCGUCACAAAUCAAUGAAAUGACAGCAGUGAUUUUGCAAGACAGCAUACCUUCUCUUGGGGUGCUUUUCAUUUUGCAACAUUUCUUUACGUGUAAUUUCCAGAGGAGGGUUUAUCAUUGUAUAUAGCUCUUCGGGUGGUUUUUUCUGCAAAACAAAUGUCACAAGGAAGGAGGAGAAACGGAAAAGAUUUACUUGGAAUGUCUCAAGUCUCCUUUGAGAUAAAGGCAUCGAAUGCACAACAUUGUUUUUGUGCUAUUUCAUAAUUAAAGUGUGCUUCCCAAGUCUCCUUUGCGUUUUGUAACUUGUAAUGUUUGUUUUUUUGUUUCCCCUGUUUUGUCUUUUAUAAAAGAAAGAGGAAUGCUAGCAACCUUCUCUCUAAUCUUCUCUUUUGGACCUUCUCCCUUUUCUUUUUGACAAGUGUCAUUUUCCAUACACUUAAAACAAUGACAUUAAUGCAUCACACAAUUUAGUUUUUGUUUUCCAAGUUUACCAUUUUAAAAUGUAUUGGCUUUUAUAUUUCCUUCAAUUAUUCACAUUUUGUUAUAACUUGUUUAGCACAUUAUUUUUUUUAAUUUAAAAAAAGUCAUAUUUUUUAAAAAUAAAAAUAAAGUUUGUUUCAUGACAUUGUUAUCAUUUUUAUUUUGUUUUUAACAAAACACGCAUUCUCUUUGGAAAAAUUAAAAAUUAAAAAACAAUUCAGUUUUUAUUUUCUUAUUUAAUUUUUAACAAGCUAGUAAGAAAGUUAUAAAAAAAAAUUAGCUUGUUAUUAAAAAAAAAUUAAUACAUUUAAUAAGGGUAAAUUUGGAAAACAAAAACUAGUUUGUGUGAUGCAUUAAUGACAUUGUUUUUAGUUUAAGGAAAGUGACACUUGUCAUGAGAAGAAGGGAGAAGGUCCAAAAGAGAAGGUUAGAGAGAAGGUUGUUAGCACUCCCCAUAAAAGAAAUACAGGUCUGAACCACACGGAUCUACUUGCAUAAUAAUGGACCAAAUUUAUGAUUUUUAGAAAGAACCUUCUACUGGUGGAAUCUUGGGCUACUGUUGUGGCUCUCCUCUGUGUGCCUCCUUUUUAGAAUGGUAAAAUAUUCAAAAUACCAGAAAAUGUUCAUGAUUAAUGCAAAUAUUAAGAAUUGAAAUUAUUAAUUAAAUGAAGAUAAUAUGGUAAAUUCACACUUUUUCAUAUUAAAAAAAUUAAAAUUAAAAGAAAUAUCAGAUAAUUACUCUUAUUUUUAUGGAACACAGCUACCCAUUAUCUUUUUUAAUUAUAAAAUAAAUUUAAAUUAUAAAAAAAAAAUCCUCUCACAUGCACGGAAGCGCGUGCUCAGAGGCUAGUUAAAAAUAAUGAACUUUGCUUCUGAUGUCUAUACCAGACCCACUCAACCUGCUUUAUGAUUAUACAAAGAACAAACUCGUCCUUAGACUCAUUUGGUUAAACUUAGAAAAUAAUGAAACAAAAAUAUACACACCCACAAGUAACACAGCCAGGAUUGAAAACAACUGGACAAAGAAAGGCAUGUUAAAACAGAAUUUUCAACAACUCAUCACCAUUAGACAAGAAAAAGAAAAAUCAAUACAGAAACAGAAAGAACAGAGAAUAAAUGUGGUGGAAGAAAAACGUUGAAGCCAUUUGUGAAUCCAACAACACUACCACUCUGUUUCUCUCCUUUUGUUCAGGCGGAUCUGCAUAUAUCCUAAGGCGUAUUACGGAAACAACUUCUUGCCGUUAUACUUGAAUGUUGUGGAUGCUUCAACGUUGCCAUCUGGGUGGAGUGGAUUUGUCCAAUUCACCUUCACUAUGGUUAAUCAACUAGACAGACAUAAGUCAGAAACAAUAGGUAUAUAGGUCCAAAUUGUUGUUAUUUGAAAGGCUUCUAAAUUUUAACAUUUUGAUUUCUAAAUUUUGUUUUAAUAUUUCGGCCCACUUAGUUCUUCUCAAAAUAUGUCAUCAAUAUCGUUGAAAGGUUGAACUUAGUGAAUUAUUAUAGUGCAGUACGGUAAAAUAGGCACAUGAUAUAAUUUGUCCACAUGUUCUAAUAUAAGUGAAUAUUUAUUGAUAUUAUUUUCAAAAAUAAAAAAUAUCAACCAUUACAUCCUCCCAUAUUAUAAUACAUAUACAAAUUAUACCACAUUAUCAUACUCUAAUACCAUUUUAUAAUUUCUCGUACUUAGGAGGUAUAGAGCGAGUCAAUGACAUUACAUAAUAUAUAAUUGUUCAUAUAAUGGGGCAACUAACGUGAUCAACAAGUUGUGGUGAUUAAUUUAACAUAAUAAAAAACAUACCAUUUACUAUGUAACAAUUUGUUCUUUUAAAUUGGAUUGUCAUCACUUUAAUAUGUUAUGUUUCUUAUUCUAGUCUCCCAUGUUAAGUGCUUCAGCAUUGUUUGUGGUGUGUACACAAAUUUUCUUAUAAAAUGUUUUAAUGCUUCUCACAUGUAUAUCAGAUAUAGACAGUUGAUGUGACUUAGAAAUCAAAUUGUCAAUAAAGAAAAAAAAUAUAAUUGGUGAUCGAGGUCCAAUUUAAUAGAAAAUAGUCUUAAUUUGUAUAUUAAAGGUUUCAGAUUCGAAUCCUCACUGCAUUAUUGUUGUAUGCGUACACGAGAAAUUCUAUUUCCCAAUAAUUUAGAUUAUCACUUAUACUAAAAAAAAUAUAUAUAAUAAGUUUUACGAAUGCAAACAUAAAAUUACACCAAACAAUAAUGGAAUAGAAAGAUGGAAGUUUUUUUUUUUUCCUACAUCUAAAGUAUACUUUAUAUAUAUAUUUAUUAUGGGAGUUAUAACCGUUUAAUUUUCAGUUUUUAUUUUCUAUUUAUUGUGUUAAUUUUUAUGGUUUAAUAUGUAUGGAGAUUACAAGUAUUGGAUGUCUAUAAAGGGCCACUCCUCCUUCACAUCUGAAACAAACCACCAUCUCAUUUCUGUAUUUUCAUACUUUCAUAUAUUUUCUACUUUCCAGAUUAUUAUUUUUGGGCAACGGUUUUGUGACUUGGAGAUUUCUAUCCGAUUGUUAACAUGCUCAUAACGGACCUUGAGCUUGCGUAUUGGGGAUCGUAUCUUGGAGCCUUGUAGACCUUUAUUACGUGCAUGUAGGGAGGCUACAAAUGCUUUAGGUCAGCGUCUUUGACGUACUUUUGCUUUCUUUUUUUACUUAUUUCUUCGUUUCUUUAUUUUUACUUUACUUUUAAAUCUUUAUUUUAUGUAUUAUUUAUAUUUAAAAGUUUUGAAUAAGAGUUUUACAGAAAAGGAAAAACACAAUUUCAAAUAACACAAAUUUCUCGUUUUUUGUUCUUAAAAAAGAAGAAGCAUUGAUUGGGGAGUUAUGGUAAACUCAGUUUCAAUGGUUGCGAUGAGAGGCGGUGGCGGCGAGGAGAGGACGAAGGCUUUGCUGCCGACGGGGUGGUGUGGCUGGCUGCUUGGUCCUGGGUUCUCCUUUAAUUCUCUGUUUUCUUUUUUCAUUUUCUUUUUCUCUUAGAGUUAUUGAUGUUAAGUGAAUGGACAGAUGCCAAAAUAGGGACAGAAGAUGUGAACCCAAUUAUAUACAGCUGCUGCUAUAGCUGAUUACAUAAAGUAACAAAUUAAUUAAUGCUUGAGUGGAGGACAGGCUUGAGUGGAAGAAUUGAUUAAGGCUUGAGUGGAAGACAAACUUCAGUGGAGGAAAGUAUAGAUAAGGAAAGCAUGCCUCGUUUAACGGCUUUAUCUAAUAAAGAUUACUUGUUGGCACUUGGAGUUUCUUAGGAAUGCUGGUUUUGUUUCCUUGGUGGACUUGAAAGGUGGUGCCUUGGCUCGGACAUCUCCCAAGACAUACAACUGCUCAUUAGCUGAAUAUCUCGCUCUCUUUAAAGAGAUCGAAGCAAACACAAUUUGCAAUUUGUGUGAUUCAAGCAUGAAUAUCUGAUAUAGUAACUAUACCAUUUGUUGGUUUGAUAAGAAAAGUUUGGUUAGCGAGGAUGAAACCAUAAAGUUCCCAAAACACACAAAGAACACGGACAAUUGCUAAGUUUAUUCUUGAGUUCACACAUAUUUGCACAAAUGAGAUUAUUCCAAGCAUGAUUAUACCAUUUGUUGGUUUGAUGUGAAAAGUAUGGGCAACGAGGGGUAAAACCAUACAAACACACACGAAGAACGUGGACAAUACUAAAUUUAUCUUUACGUUAUUGAUCCGACCUAACUGUAAAAUAAAAAAGAUGAAAAUAUAUAAUGUUCAGUACUUAGAUCUAUGAGCACUUGCACAAAACAUCACUUUUGGUCUUUGGUAAAUUUUUAAAAUAAAUGAAUUUUUUACUUAUUUGUGAACUGAAAUGCCUCUAAAAAAAUAAUGAUAGUUCGAAGAAUUUGAUAGAAAUUAAAAAAUAUCCUCAAAUUACUUGGAAUUGAAGACCACAUAGGCAAAAACACGAAAUUGAAACCUCACUUUAAUGAUAAAAAUGGUAAACUACAAAGACAAAAAUGACGUCUUGCCUUAUAAAUAAUUGGAAUUUGCUGGUGAUAAUAGUCGAUAUCAUCUUUUGUCGGUCCGACCUAAAAAGAAGAAAAAGUUAAAAGCAUCUUGUACCAAUUUUUGCCAAUGUGGGCCCAAACAAUUUGAAGAAGUCCACCGGCAAUUUCUCAAAAGCUAUUGUGUGAGUGUGAAGCUAAACCAAUAUUAUUUUGCAUAUCCGACCCCACAUCCCCAUGUGAUGUGAGGCUACAGAGGUGUUUCCAAAACGAAAUAUGAUAUUUCAAAACGUAGCUAUGUAUAGAGUCAUUUGUAUUUGCUUUCACAAUAACAUUUGAUUUUAUAUUUAUACAUUCUGAUAUUUUAACAAAUAAAUUGACUAAAUUUGGCCAACAGGAUUUAGCCGAAUAGAAAAGUUCUUAUUUAUGGACUAGUAAUUUUAAAUUUAAAAUUUAGACUAUCGCAUGUAUUUAAAAAAAACUAAACAAUUGGCUUAAUUUGAUAUAUUUCCUUUUUUUCCUUUUUGCAUUUUAUGCUGGUUGCCGUUAUUAAGUUUUAUCCUUAUUUUUUGUUGAAAAGAAAAUUGAAAAAAAUAAUAAUAAUUCCUACAGCUAGCAACUUCUCCACCUACAAAAAAUAAUAUUUUUUGUUUUAUCCUCAUGUGAGGCUACAGAAAAUUUUUGAAAACGAAACUGGAUAUUUUAUCUCUAACGACAGCUUUCAUACUUCGUUUACCCUGUGUUUCCAAGUUGUGCUAGCUAUUUGCAAACCUUGGAAUAUUACUUCAUCCAAAUCCCUUGCAGAGAAAAGAAAGAUAUGGCUUUGAUCGGAGAGGCCCUCAUCUCUGCUACCAUCCAGACGUUGUGUGACAAAAUUGCUUCGCCUGAGUUCACCGACUUAUUUCGGCAGAAAAAGCUCGAUGAACAACUCCUCAACAAGCUGAAGACGACGCUGUUGACCUUGUCCGUAGUGCUUAAUGAUGCAGAGGAGAAGCAAAUUGAGGAACCUUUAGUGAGAGACUGGCUUGACAAUCUCAGACAUAAUGUCUUGGCUGCGGAGGACUUACUGGAUGAAAUCGACACUGAAGCUUUGCGAUGCAAACUGGAAGAAGGUGAAGGUCAAACCCACAAUUUAACCAAGAAGGUACGUGAUUUUUAUCAACGCAUGAAUGUUGAGAUGAAAGAUUUAUUAGAAAGAUUAGAACAAUUUGUACAAGAGAAAAGUGCUCUUGGUUUGAGAGAAGGUGCUGGGAGGAAGGUUUCACGAAGAACAACAACUUCCUUGGUUCAUGAACCUUGUGUCUAUGGUAGAGAUGAAGUCAAAGAAAAUCUGUUGCCAAUUUUGUUAUCUGAUGAUGCAAGUAAGGAUGAUGUGUCUGUCCUCACCAUUGUUGGAAUGGGUGGGAUUGGCAAGACAACCCUUGCCCGACUGCUUUAUAAUGACGAUGAGGUGAAAGAACAUUUUCCACUUCACGCUUGGGUUUGUGUUACGGAAGACUAUGAUUCUAAUAGGAUAACUAAAACUCUUCUAGAGUCAGUCACCUCAAAGUCUUCUAAUAUGACAGAUCUAAAUUUACUUCAAGUUGAACUAAAAGAACAACUCAAGGGAAAGAAAUUCUUAUUUGUUUUGGAUGACCUAUGGAAUGAGAAAUAUGGUGAUUGGAAACGCCUCCAAACUCCUUUUACUUCUGGGGCAAGGGGAAGUAAAGUCAUUGUAACAACACGGAGCCAACAUGUAGUAUCUGUCCUGCAAAGUGUUCAUGUUCAUCACUUGGAACCCUUGUCGCACGAAGAUUGCUGGUUCUUACUUGCAAAACAUGCAUUUGGAAAUGAAAAUUGCAGUGAUCCAAACUUGGAAGAAAUUGGCAAGAAAAUUGCACACAAGUUCAAUGGGUUGCCUUUAGCUGCAGAAACACUUGGGGGUUUGUUACGUUGCAAUAUAGAUUCAGAGGAAUGGAAUACAAUACUAAAUAGCAGUAUUUGGGAGCUACCCUAUGAUAAAUGUGACAUUCUUCCGGCUCUUGGGUUGAGUUACCAUUAUCUCUCCUCCCAGUUAAAACGAUGCUUUGUUUAUUGUUCAAUUUUUCCAAAGGAUUAUGAGUUUAAAAAGGAAGAUAUAGUUCAAUUUUGGAUGGCAGAAGGUUUAAUUCCAAAAGCUGAGAAUGGAAAGAGCAUAGAAGCGGUAGCUAGAAAAUACUUUGAUGAGCUGUUGGCACGAUCGCUAUUUCAAAAGUCAAGCAAAUCCGGUUUCACAAUGCAUGAUCUCAUUAAUGACUUGGCCAUGUUCAUGUGUAAGGCAUUUUGCCUUAGGUUGGAAGGGGGGGAAUCACAUGUCGUAGAAAAAGUUCGGCAUUUUUCAUAUGCUAUGGAAAGAUUUGAUGCAGCUCCAAAAUUUGAGCCAUUACAUAGGGCUAAGUUUAUGCGGACCUUUCUACCCAUAUCAUUAAAUUUUGUUUCCACUUCUUAUGUAACUAAAAAGGUUCUACAAGAUUUGUUGCCGUCACUAAGAUGUUUACGGGUGUUAUCAUUGUCACAUUAUCAAAAUGUUACUGUGUUACCUGAUUCUAUUGCAAACCUCAUUCACUUGCGCUACUUGGAUCUUUCCGGUACCGCAAUUGAAAGGUUACCUGGGGUACUUUGCAAUCUCUACAACUUGCAGACAUUACUAUUGUCAAAAUGUUUCUCACUCCUUGAAUUGCCUGCAGACAUUAGAAAAUUGACUAAUUUACAGAAAUUGACAUUGCUCGGUUGUAGUUCUCUUAAUAAAUUGCCUGCAGGCAUGAAGGAGUUGACUAAUUUGCAUCAUCUUGAUGUCAGUGGAACUAAAAUUGAAGAGAUGCCGGUGCAAAUGGGUAGAUUGAAAAGUUUGAGAACAUUGACUGCAUUUGUUGUGGGCAAAUCUACUGGGUUAGGCAUAAGAGAACUGAGGCAGUUCCCGCAACUUCGAGGAAAACUAUCAAUUUUGAAGCUACAAAAUGUAGUUGAUGCGAGGGAUGCACUGCACGCCAAUAUGAAGCACAAGAAAGAUCUCAAGGAGUUAAAGUUUUCAUGGGGUGCGGAGGAUGCUGAUGAUUCCCAAAAGGAGAAAGAUGUACUCGACAAGCUCCAGCCUUGCGUGAAUUUGGAGAAAUUAUCCAUCAAAUUCUAUGGUGGAACCAAUUUUCCGAAUUGGUUAGGAGACUCGUCUUUUUCUAACAUACAAGUCAUGCAUCUCAGUGACUGUAGUUAUUGUUGGUUGCUCCCACCAGUUGGACGGCUACCGGCACUCAAAGAGCUCUGUAUAAAAAGAAUGAAGUCUUUGAGGACGAUUGGCGUUGAAUUCUAUGGCAGAAAUGGAGCUUAUCUGACUCAGCCAUUUCGAUCUCUGGAGAAGCUAGAGUUUAGGGGGAUGCCGGAGUGGGAGGAAUGGGUACCAAGUGGAAGUGCAAGUGGAGGUGAAUAUGGUCCAGACUUUCCUCGUCUCCAAAAGCUGAUUCUAAACGAGUGUCCGAAGCUAAGAGGAAGUUUGCCUUGUGAGUUGCCUUGCUUGAAGAAGCUUACGGUGUAUGGGUGUAAGGUUUUACAUGAUGGAAGGACCGCUACCGCAACUACCAAUAGUGUUAACUAUAAAUCUCUGGAAGAAUUGGAUAUAAGUGGUGGAUGCCAAACUCUGUUAUCAUUAUUAGAGACAAAGCUCCUGUCCCGACUUCGGAUUCGAAAUGUUGUUGACAUACAGUGCUUGCCCAACUGCAAUCGUCUUCAACGUUUGACUCUUUGCCUAACGCUGUCAUCGUUUCCCAAAGAUGGCCUACCCACUACAUUGACAUCACUUUAUAUAAACAAUUGUAGGAAAUUAGAAUUCCUACCUCAUGAGAUGUUGGCCAAAUUAACAUCGCUUGACUAUUUGUGCGUACAAAAUAGCUGUGAUUCAAUGAGGUCCUUCCCGUUGGGCAUUUUUCCCAAAUUGACGACGCUUCAAAUUCGUGGUUGUGAGAAUCUGGAAUCUUUUUCCUUGAUUGAAGAAGAAGGAGCUGUUGACAAUCUCAGCCAUCUCAAUUCCUUGCGUGUCUAUAACUGUCCAAAAAUGGUGUGUUUUCACGAGGGAGAAUUGCCCACUCCCAACCUGAGUCACUUUGUAGUCAUUGGUUGCGAGAAUUUGAAGUCAUUGCCCGAACGCCUUCACACCCUCACUGCCCUUCGAUCUUUGAAUAUAUGGAAUCUUCCGAAUCUGGAGUCAUUUGCAGAAGAUGGGGGUUUGCCUCCCAACCUCCGAUCUUUUAUCAUUAGGAAUUGUAAGAGACUGAGGGCACUUGACUCAGUGGGUUUGCAAGCACUUGUCUACCUUCAGAUCGAUGGAAGUGACCAUGUCUUGGAGACGUUGCUGCUCCCUACCACUCUUCACACUCUCUGCAUCUCUGAUCUAUCAACUCUGAAAUCUUUGGACGGAAAGGGUCUUGGACACCUCACUUCUCUUCAAACUCUAAAAAUUUACAGCUGUCCAAGUCUUCAAUGCCUGCCAGAAGAGGGUUUGCCGCCAUCUCUUUCUCAUCUGAGUAUCCGCUGUUGUCCUACCCUGGAGGAAAGGUAUAAGAAUAAAACGGGACAAGAUUGGGCAAAGAUAUCUCACAUUCCUUGCAUCGAGAUAGGGGAAGAAGUGAUCAUAUAAUAUGAGCUAUUCCAUAUUUCACGCUCAACCCUCAACUCUCAAAUCAAAGUCAGGUGAGGUAUGUGCCUUCUCUUACUUUAAAAAACUGCUUCUCUUCUUCUAAUUGAAUACAAAAACCAAAACACAUAUUCUCUUUCUCUUCCAAAAACCCAAAUACAUGUUGGACAUUGCCCAAAUUUGUCUCCAAAUUCCUAGUUUAAAUCAAAUUUAAUGCCUAUGGAUAGUUUGUUAAUAGGUUCAUGCCAUGAAUUAAUCUUUGGACUUUCCCAGGUACUGCAGGUUUGUUAUUAAUGUUGUGGCCUGAUAUUCGUCGUAUCAAUACGUUGAGGAGAGAGAUCGAUCAGCAAUUACAAAAUUGUUAGUGAAUUUAGCUUGUUUAUCAUCUCUCUCCUUUUGUUUGUUAAGUUUUGUUGUUCUAGGUUAAACCCUUGUCCCCGCAUUUCACAGCAACUCUGUGUUUUUCCACUCUGUUUAGAUUUCACUAGCAGGAGAGCCCGCGCGAUGCUGCGGGUUUUGAAAUUGUGUAGACAAAAUUAGAUUGUUUAUAUAUACAAUGAGAUUUAAUUUAUAACAUUAUGUUUAACUACAGGAGUGUAAGUUGCAAAAAAGUAUAUAAUAACAUAUUUUACAGGCUACUUGUUAUGGUAAAAUACUAUACUUGUUUGUAUAUACAUUGAGAUGUUUAUAGUAGGAAGUAGGCAUCAAAAUAGCAAAAGUUGGAUAGUUUUGUACAGAAUGUUAUUUAAUUGGGCAAGCUUUGUUUUGCACUUGCUUCAUGAUUUUUCUUCUCUUUCAUGGAAGUCUUGAUCCUGUUAUAAAAAAAAGUGAGAAAAUAGUAAAUGUUAAUAUUGAUGAAUGGGGGAAAUUGAGUUAGGACAAUAAUCAUAAACAUUUAAUUAUGUAUAAACAGGAAUAAUAUAAUUUAUUGAUUUAAUAAGAAAGUUAUAAAUAGUUUUUCAAUCUAGGAAAUACAAAGUUACAAAAUUAAGAGAACUAAUGAGCAAGUUGUAGAUGGUUUUCUAAUUGAAGUAAUACAAAGUAAACAUAUUUUAAAUUUUGUGUUUGUCUAAAAGAAAAGUUGAAGAGAGGCAAAAUAAUUAUGGUUGAAUAUAUGGAGAAAAGGAUGUCAAUAUAAUGUUUAGGUUUUUAUGUAUUAGGAAUAUAUGACUUUUUUGCUGUUAUUUAGAGCAAAAAUUAUUUAAGGGCUUGACAUUUCUGUUAAAAAACGGGUAGAAUCUACCCUGAAAAAUGGACAUUUUGCCAAAAAAUUCACCUGUAAACUAAUUAGUACUGAAUACCGAUUGGCGAAGGCAAGACAAUCAUAGUUGUGGAGUACAUAGUUAGAAAGAUGAAUGUGCAAACGUACAUCUAACCCCAUGAUAUACAUCUAACCCCAUGUGAACAUGAUUUAUUCUACAACAAUGAUUAUCAAUUUUCUAAUUGCUCAUUUUCCUAACCCUAAUCAUCACAAACCCAAAAUUAACUCUAAAAAUUUCAAAUAAGCAUGGUUCUAAACCAAUUUCUAACUUACUUAGCGAAGUCUUUUCUAUAAAUGAUAGUUGUUGAAGAAAAAGGGAAACGAAAAUAAGCUUUUAGUGUAUAAGUACAUUGAAGCAAAACAUGAAGAGAAUCCAAUAUAUAACUUCAAUAUAUAACUUUAAUUUUCUAUAAGUGUUGAUCUAAAUUUACAUCCCUUACCACUCUUCAAUUUAAAAAUAGUUUUAGCUACAACAAACAACUUCAGAGAGAAGAUUUGGCCCUGUUUUAUAAGGCAAAACCUCUCUAACCACAUGACAUACAUCUAACUCCAUGUGAACGUGAUUUAUUCUACAACAAUGAUUAUCAAUUUCCUAAUUGCUCAUUUCCCUAACCCUAAUCAUCACAAACCCAAAAUUAAUUCUAAAAAUUUCAAAUAAGCAUGGUACUAAACCAAUUUCCAACUUACUUAGUGAAGUCUUUUAUAUAAAUGAUAGUUGUUAAGGAAAAACGGAAACAAAAAUAAGCUUUUAGUGUAUAUGCACAGCACAGAAAUUGCAUGUAGCUUUCCGAUUUUUAUCCCAACUUCGUUUCUGUGGAAUCACAAAACUACAUACGCACAGCACAGGGAAGGGAAAAAAAAAAAAAGGCACAUUUAAGAGACACCUAUCUUCUCAUUCUACAUCACAUCCUCUUUUCCUAGCUUUCCAACCUUGCAACCAAAGCAAACAUCUUUCCUGAUAAAGGGUAGGAAAGAAAGUGGUUGUGUGAAUUGGGAUGAGAGAGACAGAGACAGAGACAGAGACAGAGAGACAAAGAGAGAGAGAGAAAAGAGAAAUCAAAGUAUAUAUAUAAAUAGUAAGUAUAGUUUAUAUCAUGCAAAGUUUUGAUGGUUUCGUUCAAAAAAAAAACAGGGAAAAAGUUUUGAUGGGUAAUUCUAGUAAUAAUGUUCUUAUAAUUCUAUAUAUAUAUAGAUAUCAAACUGUACUACCAUAUUCUUCCUAUAUAUACACUUGGUCGUCAACUACCUCUCUCUCUCUCUCUCUCUCUCUCUCUCUCUCUCUCUCUCUCUCUCUCUCUCUGUGACCUGCAUUUAUACAGAACCAAUUAUUCCAUCUUCACUAUACAUUUUCCUCAUCUUCCCAUUCAUAUUUUAUGGCUCUCUUGUUCUUCCUCCUAAUUCUUUUGGUCCCUGCAAGCAAUACUAAUUGGCCACCAUCACCUGGCUACUGGCCAAGUUCUAAAUUCAGGUCUAUGAGCUUUUAUAAAGGAUUUAAAACUCUCUGGGGUCCUCAGCAUCAAAGCUUAGACCAACAUGCAUUAACAAUCUGGGUUUAAUGAGGCCAGAAAAUUUUAAGAACUUAUCUACCAAGCAUACCAAACUGACAAAGCAAACCAUAUCUGUAUUUUAUCAUCAAUUUCAUCAAUUUUAUCACCAACAACAGAUAAAAAAAGGGAAUUUUUUCAAAAAAAAAAAAAAGGAAAAAACAUAAAUAAAAAAAGGGGCACAUUUAAGAGAGACCUAUCUUCUCAUUCUACAUCACAUCCUCUUUUCAUUUUGAAGCGGUCAUGUGUUGUGAGUUUCUUGUUUUAUAAAUUUUCAAAACUGUUGUUUAGAACUGCAAAAUUCUUCAUCAUAUAUCUUGCCUUCUAAUAUACAUUCUGUAUCAGGAAACUGGAAUGAGGCUUGCUCUUUGAGGAAGAGAAAUAAAAGAAAAAGUUGUGGCAAAGGUUCACGGAUGUAGUUGGAUUGUAGUGGGACAGAGAACAAAUUUAUUUGUUGCAGGGGAAAAGUCUCAUCCAAAUGCUAUGAAAUCAUGGCAACUUUAAAGUAUUGGACAGCAAUAAUGAAAGAAGAGGGCUAUGUUGGUGACACAGAUUCUUGCUUGCAUGAAUAAGAGGGAGAAAAGCCCCUAUGGUAUUGACUGUUGCCGCCAAGUGCAUAUUGUUAUUACUAUGCGUACUACAUCCCAAGGCCUCUCUCAGCAGGAUUACAAAGUAAACCAGAAUUACUAUCCCAGCAGUAUUCUGCAACUUUGCUCUGCACUUCCUUAUGUAAUCUCUCUCUCUCUCUCUCUCUCUCUCUCUCUCUAUAAAUAUAUAUAUACACACACACACACACACACACAUAUAUCUAGGCAUGCAUAUUUAUGAGUUCCCCAUUGAGGAGGGAUUCCCUUUUGAGGAUUUUAUAAUUAGAAUUAGACUGCCUUCUUAACCAAUAGUUGGGUUUGUGUGGUAAGGUAUGCUGGGUUUGUUGAUGUGGAUAUUUAUGCCUGGAGGUGCUUUGUUUUACUACUUCGUUGAAGUAGAAACAGACACUGACAAAGAAGCCCUUCAUUCUUUGUCUCAAUAGUGAUUGGUUUCUUUGAUCCUAUUCAUCAUAUCUGGUGGUGAGGUUGCCUAAUCAGCCAAAUGUUGGGUUCAACUACCUCUCUCUCUCUCUCUCUCUCUCUCUCUCUCUCUGUCUCUCUCUCUCUUUCUCUCUCUCUCUGUGACCUGCAUUUAUACAGAGCCAAUUAUUCCAUCUUCACUUUACAUUUUCCUCAUCUUCCCAUUCAUAUUUUAUGGCUUUCUUGCUCUUCCUCCUAAUUCUUUUGGUCCCUGCAAGCAAUACUAAUUGGCCACCAUCACCUGGCUACUGGCCAAGUUCUAAAUUGGCCAGAAAAUUUUAAGAACUUAUCUACCAAGCAUACCAAACUGACAAAGCAAACCAUAUCUGUAUUUUAUCAUCAAUUUUAUCGCCAACAACAGAUAAAAAAAGGGAAUUUUUUCAAAAAAAAAAAAAAAAAAGGAAAAAACAUGUUUAGUCUUUGCUUUCCAAUGUUUUAUCCAAAAACCUGAAAAUCAAAGUAACUAAAUAAAUGAACCCAAUCAUUCCUAAUUUCUAUUUUGUCAAAACCUAAUUAAGCUUCACUUCUUUUUUGCUUGUAUUUUAUCAUCAAUUUCAUCUAUUUUAUCACCAAUAGCAGAUAAAAAAAGGAAAUUUUUUCAAUUAAAAAAAAAAAAAACAUACUCAGUCUUUGCUUUCCAAUGUUUUAUCUAAAAACCUAAAAUCAAAGGAAUCAAAUAAAUAGGGUUUAGGGCUCAAGAACCUGAAAUCAAAAGAACCAAAAAAAUGAACACAACUCUACAUAGCACGAAAAAUCUCCCAGCCAACAAUCAAAUUCAUGAAAUAAAUACCAAAAGAUCUGUUAAAAAAUUGAUGAGAUGCAUACCUGAAAACAAAGGAUGCAACAAAGAUGGAAGCCUGAGUCGAAGCAAGAACGAUGGAAGCCUGAGUCGAAGCAAGAAAGAUGGAAGCCUGAGUCGAAGGUUGUAGAAAAGACGAAAUCUCCCGAUCCCAAAUCUGUGACACGAAGACUGAAAGCACGGCUGGAUUUGCAGCUCACCUCCCAAACAAAAAUCGACGGCCUUCAACGCAUCUCCAGCAACGAACACAACUCUUCCAUGGCUGCCCCCCAACCAGCUGGUUGGAAACGAACGGGAGAAAAUGGUUUCUCUCAGCGGACGAAACCAUCUCAACGAAGGGGGAGGGGCAAAAACGGGAACAAAAGAAACUGUUUAGUCAAGGGCAGUUUCGUCAUUUAACUGUGCUGCAGGAAAAAAAACGAAAACAGCAGAAAAAUGAGGGGCAUUUCCGUCAUUACACUGUGCUUAGCUACAGUGUUUAGUUGCAUUGGGUUUUAGUAUAUAUAUAAUUUAUGUUGUGAUUCGACUGCUGCUGUAUUUUAGAUUUAUAGGAACAGACCAAACAUGUUGAUUCUAUCACCAAAAUUAUAAAGUAUACUUCCAUUACAAUUAAUUUGUUGAUUCUAAUUUGGACUUGUAGGAACAGACCAAACAUGUUCAUACGUGGCAUUGCUCAAGUCAUCAUCAUUCGGGACAGAGAAUAAGCCUUCAAAUGUCUGCUGAGUCAAUGAACCUUUCUAGAUAUCUCAAGUGUAAUGGAAAUUGAUGAGUUACAAAGGAUUUGUAAACAUUUUCUACUGGAGGCUAGAAAUGCUUCAAAUAAAUGACUCUGUUGCAAUUAUUUUGUAGGAUCAAAGACUCUGCAAAGAGGUAAGAAAGUCAUCAUCAAGUAACUUCGCUCUUCAUACUUUUUAUUAGGGGUGGGCAUUGGAACCGCAAAACCGCAAAACCGAACCAACCCAAUCCGAAAAAAACCGAAAAAAACCGUGUUGACCGAAAAAGUCAAAAACCGAGACAAAUCCAAACCGAACCGGUUCAGACCGGUUCCGGUUCCGAUUUUCCACCUUAAGGAACCGGUCCAAUCCGAACCGGUCCAAUAUAAUUAAUUUUUAUAUUAUAUUUAUAUUUAUAUUUAAAAUAUCAAAUUUUGUAGGCCCAAACCCAACUAUUUCAUUAUACCAACAAAAAGCCCAAAUCUCCCAAGUCCAUUGCCCAAGUCCAACAAGCCAUAUUUUAAUAUCCUAAUCACAUCAAAUCUCACUUCACUCUCUCUCUCUGACGCACUCUCUCUUUUCCUCUCAGAUUUUUUUUACUCUCUUUUUCUUUCUUUCUUCUCUCUUCCGCCUCUUUUCCUCUAGGUUCUUUAACUUCUUUUUACUUCUUUCUUUCUUCACUCUUCUGCCUCUUUUCCUCAGUUUUUUCUUCUUCUUUCUCUCUUAUUCUUUCUCCUCUCAAUUCGUCUCCAUUUUUUUUCCCUCUCUUUCUCUGAUUUUCUGUUACUCUGAUUUUUUUCUUCUUGGUUUUAUGUUUCUCUCUCUCCCUCUAUAUCUCUUUCUUUGCAACUCUGUUUUUCAAUUUCUCCUUUUUUUUCUCUCUUCAUUUUUUGUUUCUCUGUACAUAUAUGUGUUCAUCUUGUAGAUCUGGGUGAAAUUCUUGUAGAUCUAGGUGAAGUUCUUGGAGAUCUGCGUUAAGUUCUUGUAGAUCUAGGUAAAGAGCCAAUUCAAAGCAGGUCAGCGUCUCUUAUCUCCCCAAUCCCUUGUGAAGAUAUGUAUUUUUUUUGUUGUCAACAAUCCAUUUUGGUGUUUUUAUAUGGUAUUGAUAUUUUCUAUGAUUUUGGGCUGAUUUGAGGUCUGAUUCUUUUUUUUUCUUUCAAUUUUUUCCUGUUGUGUUUUGAUAGACAUGUUCUCUAUUCCUGAUAUCAUUCCUCAGUGGCAAAAUCUUUGAGCGUUGUUGUAAAUUUUAGACGGGAAAGAAGCUCAUUCAUAAUUCAAAAAAAGAAAAUAAAGUUACAACAACUGACAAUUUGUUGCUCUUUGAAAUAGGUACUGAAGUAGCAUGGAUAAAAAGAAAGACUGAAGAUGUUGCAGAAGAUUGAAUAUGUUCUAUUUCUGUAAUUUGUUUGUAAUUAAAUUUGUUUAUUUUGUUUUGUUUUUAGGUUGUAAGUUUUAUUUUAAUGUUUGAUAUUUGUUGUUUUGUCAAAAAAUUGUAUUAAUGCUUGAUGGAUUCAUUCAAUUUGCAGUGCGUGGAUGUGAAUUGGGCCAAUCGGUAAUAAUUAGGCCCAAAAGGUUUUAAAUAUCAAUUGGGCUGAAACUUACAAAAAAAUUUAAGAACAAAAAAAAAAUCAAUUAAGCUGUGUGUCGGCCCAAACCGUAAAAACCGGAACCGAACCGGAUUCAAAUGGGUUCGGGUUGGUCCGGUUUUCUCAAGCAUUUUAGUAAAAAUCCGAACCGGACCGGACCGGUGAACAGUACCGGUUCCGGUUUUAAAUUGAUGCAAAAACCGGUCCAAACCGGACCGUGCCCACCCCUAUUUUUUAUUUUUAUUUUUAAAUAUCAGUAAUAACUGGGAAAGCUUGCAUCUCCUUAAAUUGCUCAUUCUUACAUCUUUUAUAGUUUGUUGAUCUUGGGCAAGUGGAGAGAGAGGCGUCAAGUGAUACGCAACAACCAUUUUCUGUGAGCUGAUUUGAUAAAGAGAAAUGGUAUGCUUUCUUGUCUUAAGCGGUGUGUUCUGCAAUUAUUUGAAACAAAGGAUGCCGCACUUCAAGUUCGAGAAAAUCAGGUAUUUUAGUAUUUUAUUCUUGAGAAAUUUGAUUUAUGUAGAAACUUGAACAUGUAAAUGAGAGAAAAAAAAAUAAAUAUAUAUAUAUAUUAUAUAUUGUAUAUGCUGUUAAUGAGUUAAUAUGGUGCUUGCUCCUAGUUGGAAAUUUAUGUAGUCAUCUACCUAUGAUCAAAUAAAGAUGAAAAAUAAAAUAAAAUUGAGAGCAUCUUCCUCUCCCCUGCUUUGCUCAUCCCUUGUUCUUCCACUUCAGCCCCACUAUUACACCAUUUUUUUCAGCCACAAUUAUAAUAGCUCCAUGAGCAUUAAGUCCCUUUCAAAUUCUGCUGACAUUCAAAAUUGGAAUCUGCUGGUGAUAUAUGAUAGCGUUAACAUAUUGUACCAUUUUGGCCAGUGUACGCAAUAUUAUUGCAUCCAACUUUGCAUAUUAACAUCAGUGGCCACAGUUACACGAUUUGAGUGCACAGAAAGGUUUCAAAAGUUGUCCCACAGAGAACAGUCGUUCAAAGUGAGAGAGUUUUGAAAGCUUAAUUACAAGUUCAUGUUGUUUACAACCUCAAAAAGCUUUCAUACUUGCUUACAAACCUGUAUUUCCAAGUUCUGCAAACCUUGGAAUAUCACUUCAUCCAAAUCCCCUUCCAAAGCAGGAAAAAAUGGCAGCAGCUUUGAUUGGAGAGGCUCUCAUCUCUGCUUCUAUCGAGGUGUUGUGUGACAGAGUUACUUCAGCCGAGUUCAUAGACUUAUUUCAGCAGAAGAAACUUGAUGAAACACUCCUCAUGAACCUGAAGACGACACUGUUGAUUUUGUUUGCGGCGCUCAAUGAUGCAGAGGAGAAGCAAAUUGUGAACCCUGCUGUGAUAGAGUGGCUUAACAGCUCAAGCAUGCUGUCUUUGAUGCAGAGGACUUACUUGAUGAGAUUGACACUGAAGCUUUGCGAUGCAAGCUGGAAGGUGAGGAUCAAACCCACAAUAAUUAACCAACAAGGAUCUUUUUGAUUGUUUGAAAGGAGGGUCUUUGAUGAUUUGAAAGGAGAGGGUUGCUUCAUUUCUGUUGGAUGCUUAAUUAAAUCUUAUCUGGACUUGAACAAGGAUUAGGUUAGCUGUAUAAUUCGUGGUAAACACCUUUUUCUAAGGUUCAUUUAGACUCCUAUUACGAUUAAUUUGUUGUUUCUAAUUUGGACUUGUAGGAACAGACCAAAUAUGUUCACACGUGGCAUCGUUCAAGUCAUCAUCAUUUCAGACAAAAUCAGCCUUCAAGUGUCUGCUGACUCAAUGAACCUUUCUAGAUAUAUCAAGUGCAAUGGAAAUUCAAGAGUUACAUAGAGAUUUGUAAACAUUUUGAAGAUUGCAACACCUGCAAGUGAGAUAGGUGGUGACGAAAUCAGAGCUGAUCUUGAAGCCUCUGAUGCCCCUGUCGUUGCAAGUUGCACCUGAGAACAUGGUUUUUUUUUGGGUAAAAAACCAGCAACAUGUUCGGGGCUGGCAAUUCAAUCCCUGAUGAACUUGAGAAGCAAAGCUCCAGUAAGGAAAUUGGUCGAGGUCACGACAGGGAUAAUUGAUGGUGAAAUGGAUGCUAUUUCUUAUUGCAGCCUGUUCUCAAAGUUCUUGUUGGCAAAAGCAAGAGAUGGAGUAUUUUGAUUGGGAGGAGAGAUAAUGACAUGUGUUGACAAUUCUAGAACAGCCCAUCUGAGUUCUUUUGUCAGGCUGCAUCAUUUAAUCCCAGCAAAAAUCCAGUUUUUGCUAAACAAUCAAAUUGUACACAUUUUUUCUUUUCGAGGAAUUUAACAUUACACAUUUUUUCAUUUUUUCAUCAAACAGUUUUCUAAUGCAUUUGUUGUCCCAAGUUACAAUGAGGAAUUUGGAUUGAGUUUCUUGUGUUAAUAACAUUAUACUUUCAUGGAAUGGUUUAUCUUCUUUUUCUGGACAAAAAUAUUUAGAUUAAUUUCUUGGAAUAAUUUUUUAAUAAUUUUUUAAUUGCAGUAGCGAAAAAAGGAAAAUUGUAUUUUUCAAAACCAAUCUUAAGUCCAGUUUCCUCUUCUUGGUCGUCACACUUGGAAAUUGCUAACCAUAUAUAACUUGGGGUAACAAUCUUAGUCCGAAUGUGUACGAUCUUAGUCCGAUCAAUGGCUACGCGUAUUGGCUCGGCCUUGGGGUCUACCAUUCCAGUGUACAAGCUUCCUGGGUCUUGGGGCAAUUCCUUCAAAUUGUACACAUGUUUUCUUUGAGAAGCAAGGCUCUAGUAAGGAAAUUGGUUAUGUAACAAAUUUUGGUCCCUUUGGAUGGAAUGAUUUACAAUGAGGAAUUUUAUUAUUAUUAUUUUGUUUUUGUUGUUAGUGUAAUGAAAAUGAUCUAGGUUCAUACACUGGGUAUAGCUCUAAUUUGGCCAAUUUCAUUAUUUUAGUUUCUUCAUAUUUUCAAUUAUUAUAAUUUGGUGCGUUGUUUUUUAAAAACAUUCAUGAGAAUCUCCAUUUUUUAGGUGUUUAAGUUAUUCAUCCACAACGGUUUUAUAAUACCGUCAUCUUUUCAAACACAACGAUGAUUUUUUAAUCUAUCGUCGUUGUUUUCUGAUCGUCUUUUUCACUUUUUGUAGUAGUGUCAAUAAGUAAGAUGAAAUAAUACAUUCACAAUCUGUUUAAAUUUUAAAUUAAAAAAAACACAAGAAAAUUUUAAAUAAGUAAGUAAUUUUAAAUAUAUAUUUCCAUUGUUUUGGUUUUCUUUUCAUAUUAGUUUUCUACUAGCUGCUAAUUUCAUUUAAAUUGUUUUUCUUACUUCAUUUAACUUUUAAGCAUGCAGAUGCAAUCAUGACUUCUUCUUUUUUUCAAUAGACUGAUUCUCUUCCCACAUAUAUAAUGCUCUCUAAGUAUUCGUAAUAUGAGUAGGAAUUUAUUUUCAUUUCACAAGAAUUGUCCAUCAAAUUCUGAUAGGUUUGUCGAUAGCACAAGCAUGCACAUAUAGACACUACAAGAACUUUGUUUCUUCAUUUUGUUUCCUAAAGAUUUGUUGGCUUCGUGCAGAUGAAUAACAAGUCUCUCUGUCCUCUAUUUCUUCUUUUUCUUUUUUAACAAUUCAUAUUCUACUUUCUGUUUUCACCCAGUAAAAAUUGAUUUUAGACAUGGGCUUCUAAAUUAUGUGCGGAUAAUGGUUGCAUUUAUAGAAUAUCCAUGGGCUUCUAGUCACCGUGGUUGUUGAUUCAGCAUGUCAUAUUACUCUUGGACUAGCUGUUGACACUACUACAUUUUACACUUUGCGCGACGAAGAACAAAACGUCGCGCAAAGUCGCAUUUAGUCGCCCCAAUUUCAGCGCGACAAAAACGUCGUCGCGCAUAUUCCGUCGCGCGAAGAUCGUGAAGAAAGCCUUUGCACGACGAGGUACAACCCUUCGUCGCGCAAAAGUGUGCGACGGGUAAACCAUCGUUGCACCAACGGUGUGGAGACGAAACAACCCUUCGUCGCAAAAAUAUUUGCGCGACGAUAAAUUAUGCGGCGCACGUAUAUUUGCGAGACGACGGGAAUUGCGCGACAAAACAUUAUUCGUCGCGCAAAAUAUGUAUGGGAGACGUAUAUGUUCGUCGCAGAACAAUUCGCGCGAUGAGAAAGUUUUCGUCGCACAUAUAAUUGCGCGACGAAAAAUUAUGUCGUCGGCCAAAUAUUUUGCGCGACGAAACAUUUCGUCGCGCAAAACGUGUUAUGUGUUCGUCGCGCAUGAAUUAAAAGUGAUAAAAAAAUAUUUGAUUUUUUUUUGUUACAUGUUGGUUUGCGCGACGAAAGAUUUUCCGUCGCGCAAAAAUAAUAUUACAAUUUUUUUUUUAUUUAUAUUUUUUAUUUGAUAUAAAAUUGGUUUCUUUUUAUUGAUUAAACAAUGAAAUUGCAAUAAAAAUAAAUUAGAAUAAAAUUUUGUUAUAAAAUAAAAUAAAAUAAAUGUAUUACAAAUAAAAUAAAUACACUAAUCAAAUAAUGAAUCAAAAUCAACCGAGUCGUCGCCAGUAUGCGGCUCGGAGGGCGGGGCGUUCACCGGGGCAGUGGUCUGGUGGGGAUGCCCGGGAUGGACGGGCUCAGAGGUCGGCGCAUCAAAAUGCGGGACUGGAAUGCCGGACUGUGCGAGGGACUGCAGAAUGACCGACAUCUGGCUCUGAAGAGUGGCCACCUGUGCUGUCAAAGCAGUGACCUGACUGUUUGACUGCGCCGAUGAACGAGGUCGAGGUUCCCUCCGCCGGGCAUUCCCCAUCCCUCGACAAUAUGUCCCCGGCCUCCUCCCGAGAGUCUGAUCCAACGUCUCCGUCAAUAUCUGAAAUCCAGCAUCCUGUGGAGGAGCCACAGACUCGAUCGGAGUCUCGGGAGGAAGCUGGGAGGCGGACUCCUGAAGAACAAGCUGGCUCCUCUCCACCAUCGUCGUCUGUUGAACAUAACAUAAAAUAUAAAUUAAAACAUGCAUAUAAAUUGAAUGCGUAACAUAAGAAUUAAAAUUAAAUAAUACUUACAUGAAGGGACUCGGCCAACUCAUUCCCGGGUCGAACAUAAACGUCACCAAAGACGUCGAUCUCUGGGAACUUGGACCCCUCCUAAAUUGAACAAGAGAAGAAAAAUAUUAGUAUGAAAAAAAUAAAUUAAUAAAAAUGACAUUAAAAAUGAAAUAAAAAUUUUGUGAUUAUUACCCGACGCCGUGCAUCCAUCCUAUAAGAAAAGGGUCUGGAGCCGGAAUGGUGGAGAAGGGUCUUCUUCUUCCUAUUACCCUUAUUCACUUGGGCUUUAUUCUGUUAUACAAAAAAUGAAACGUAUUAGUUAAAAUAUAAAAAAUUAAAUAAUAAUGAAAUAAAAAAAUAAAAUAAACAUUAAUAAGUAAUAAGUAAUAAUUAAACAAAUAUAAUUAAAAAAAUACCGCAAAUUCGGGCGCUUGAAAAUGAGCGCAGAGCCACUCCCAACUAUCCUCCCGCCCCUCAAGCUCCUUCGGGCAACCCUCCUGAAGAGCGACUUGCGGAUCAUCAUAGGCCUGAAAAUGGUGGUGCAAGUCGCUCUUCCACUGCUUGUACCUCUCAGCGAAGAGUCGGUUGACGUACGUCAACGACUCUUCGUCGAGAUCCUCCAAGUUAUAGUUCGUCUGCAAUCAAUUAAUUAGAUACGUUAAGUAAUAGAAAUAUACACAAUUUUAAAGAAAAAUAAUGAAAAUGUAAGGUACAUACCGACAACUGGCCGUGAAUCUCCGCCUGGAUCUCGUCAGGCAUGACCCUCCAAGACUUCCAUUGCAUCGGGCAAUGGGUCCGCACGACGUGGCCAAUGUCGUGGGCCAAGGAGCUAUGCAACUUCGCCGUCGGUGCAGCACGAUGGCGCUCGUCGUAUCCGAUGCUGAUACGACUGUUGGUCACCCGGGUGACCUUCGCCGUCUUCAGCUGACGACACGGUCCUCGGGUGUUCCUCUUCGCUGCAAAGAAAUAAGGUAUUAAUGUUAAAUAAAAAAACAUUGUCAAAUUUCAAUAUAAAAUUAACAAUACAAAAGUGUAGUUAUACCUGGCUGUGAUCCCGAGGCACCAGUACCGUCGGUCGAUGUCGUGUCGAUGGUGUCGGUGGGCCGGUGCCGCCGCCUAGCACUAGCUGGUUGCGCCACGGAUGACGCAGAUGACACAGGCGCCUGGGGCGCCCCGGGACCAACCACCACGUGGUCCAACAAAGCAGGAGCAGUGGCAGCAGAUGCCGACUGAGCCAGGGGAUCCGAACUCGGUGCAGUCGUCAUCGACCUACCACGUCUAAUCAAGUCUGACAUCUGCACAUAUAAUUUCAUUCAGAAUGUAAACUAAUUAAUUAAAAGCAUAGCCUGACCUAGGGUUUGGAAUUUCGGAGUAUCCGGGACUCCGAUCAACGAUCGGUCGAAUCCUAAACGAUCCUAGAAACACAAAGGUACAACUACGCGAGUUUCAGUUCGAUCCAACGGUCCGAACAUAUCAAACCUGGAAAUCGCACAAUAGGCGAAAUUCGAUCAAGACUCAAACGGUAACCAAAUUCAAAUCCGAGCAAACCUACGCGCUCGUGACAAACAGGGGAUCGCUCUGGGACACAAUGCCCCACUGCCACAGCAUCCCACGCGCCGGCAGCGCGUGGGUGUCCAAAGCGAUAACAUUCGCCGGAAAAUUCUAAAAACUAACGGCCAAGGUUCCUACCCUAGGUUGAAAACAAUAUUUGGCGCCACUUUUGUUCUCGGACCUACCCCGAAAAAUGGCCGGAAGUGGCCGGAUUUGAAAUUGCCAAACCGGCCAAAACCUAGGGUUUUAAUUCCUAUUUCCUAUACCCAUCAGCUAGAGCACAAAAAAUAGUCGAGAAAUCAUACCUCAGGCGUCGGAAAUGGUGGCCGGAGGAGAGAGAAAACGGCCGGCGAGGAAUCGGUGAAAAACCGACGAUGUGCGACGGCAGGCUCGACGGCGAAGGCAGGGGAGGCUAUGGCAGGAGCGGCGGUGGCUGAGGUGACGGCGGAGAGAGAGGGCUGAGGUGACGGCGGAGAGAGAGGCAAACGGAGGAAAAAACCAGAAAUGGGGAAGAAGGAGGCAUCGCGACGUUUCUGCAAAUUUUUACGACUUUGCGCGACGAAUCACAUCAUUCGUCGCGCAAAAUGCUAUUAAUGAAUCUUGCGCGACGCUAUAUCCGUCGCGCAAGAUCUGUCAGAACGCCAAAUUCUGAAAGUGGAUUAGGGUCUGUAAGUUUUGCGCGACGAAAUAGACAUACUUCGUCGCGCAAAAGGCUGUCUUUCCGCCAAAAUUUUGGGAUUUAGGGUUUAGCGGGAGGCUGAAACUGAAGGGUUUGCGCUUUUGCGCGACGAAGACGGUAAACGUCGCGCAAUGGUAACCUUGCGCGACGGAACGUAUUAUAUUCGUCGCGCAAAAGGCUAUCUUUCCGCCCAAAUUUUGGGAUUCAGGGUUUAGCGGGAGGCUGAAGGGUUUGCGCUUUUGCGCGACGAAGACACUAAACGUCGCACAAAAGGCUGUCUGCUGAAAUGAAUGGUUUCUGCUUUUGCGCGACGAAGACAAUAAACGUCGCGCAAAACGUUGUCGUUCCGCCAACAAUUUGGGGUUUAGGGUUUAGUGUGAAAACUGGCGCCCAGAUUGCGCGACGAAGAGUACAUAUUUCCUUCGCGCAAUCUAUUUCACUUUCACUUUGCGCGACGGAUAUGUUGGUUCGUCGCGCAAUCUUCAAGAUUUUCAUUGAAAUUUUCACUAAGUGUUCAAAGGGGAUGGAGGUGUGAAAACUGGCGCCCAGAUUGCGCGACGAAGAGUACAUAUUUCCGUCGCACAAUCUAAUUCACUUUCACUUUGCGCGACGGUUAAAUUGUUCGUCGCGCAAAAUGUAGACCCUAAACCCCCUUGUAAACCCUAAACCCUGAACCCUAAGCCAUAAACCCUAAACCCUAAAAUAGUUUCAAUGAUCCAACCGGCAAACUUAUUGUUUGAAACUUGGAGAUCAUAUACGCCAAAAAUCAAGAAGACCAAACAUUCAGAUAUCAGGGAACGGGACUAAAUAUUUCGACGGUUAUAAAUGAAAAGUCAUGAUUUAACGGUUAUUGUAACUCCGAUUUUGAUCAAUUUUGACAGCAGCAUUUGUUGACCCUAUAUGAAUACAAUGACUGAAUUUGAUCUUCAAUUUCAGAUUUUUACACUAGGGGAUACCACAUAAACGUGAAGUUACAUUUGCACAAAUGUAUAAACAAAUUUUAGGGUUUUUGGUGAAUAUAUGAUUUUGAUAGCACAUGCAGUCUACGAAACAAGUUUCAGUCAUCCAGCCGUCAAACUUGUUUUUUUAGACUUCGAGAUCAUAGACAGCAAAAAUCGGACAAAAAAAACAUUCAGAGAUUAAGCAACGGGGUAAAACUUUUCGACGGUUCUAAAUAAAAAGUGAUGAUUGAACGGUUAAUUUAACUCCGAUGUUGAUGAUUUUUUGCAGCUACAGUCCUACACUCCAUAUGAAUACAAUGAACUACUUCGAUCGCCAAUUUUAAAUAUAUAUGUGUGUAUAUAUUAUACUAUAACGUUACCUAAUAUAUAUUUGCGCGACGAAAGUUUGCUUAUCGUCGCGCAAAAAUGCCAUACGCGACGCAUGUAUAUAUGCGUCGCGGAAACUAUGCGCGACCAGUUGUAUUCGUUGCGCAAACAUUACGCGACGCUUAUGUAUGCGUCGCGUAUGGUAUGUUUGCGCGACGAUAUGGAGCCCUUCGUCGCGCAUGGAUUUGGCGCCAUAAAUCCUCAUUGAUUUCAAAUUGUGUAUGCUUUGUAUUUUUUAGAAAGGUUUUGUAUUCAUCAUUUUUUAUGCUUUGUAUUUUGUGGAAAGGCUUUGAAAUAUUCAUUUCUUUUGUUAUUUUUAUUGAAGCUUUAACUUGUUCUGUUCCGCAGAAAAUUCCAAUGAAGUUUGUGAUGAAAUAUGGAGAAUGAAUACACAACUACAUAUGGACAACUACACAUAUUCAAAGAUUUGUAUUACACAAAAUUAAUACACUAACAUAAUAAAUUUACAAAUAAAUUCAUUAUUCAUCAUCUGAACUAUAAUAACUUUCGUUAUCGUCGCUAGCUUUAACUUGUUCUGUUCCGCAGAAAAUUCCAAUGAAGUUUGUGAUGAAAUCUGGAGAAUGAAUACACAACUACAUAUAGACAACUACACAUAUUCAAAGAUUUGUAUUACACAAAAUUAAUACACUACAUAAUAAAUUACAAAUAAAUUCAUUAUUCAUCAUCUGAACUAUAAUAACUUUCGUAUCGUCGCUAUCAUCACUCUCGGUCUCCCAAUCUUCUUCCUCCUCCUCCUCUAUAACUGCAUCAUCGGCGUUGCUAGGGCCCACUGCAACAUCGUAUCGGGGAAGAUCACCGAGGUCAAUUGUAAUUGACUGAAUCGGUAUUUCGACUGAAGACACUCCUUCUAUUUGAAACGGUUCUUGUAUAACAUUUGUAUCUCGAAGUGUUUCCGCAUCAUUUUCCAUUGAAGAUUCUAAACGAUGGUCAGCCACAUUGUCGACGUCGUUGUCACUUGGGUCUAGUUCUGGUAUAUUAUACACGUUCCUAUGAUCCAUCUUCUGCACAACUUUCCACCCGUUCCCGGCUUUAGGGUCAUCUAGAUACACAAUUUGGGACGCCAUGUUUGCCAAAAUGUACGGGUCGUCAUCAUACCAAGUUCUGUUAAUAUUCACAGACAGUACUCCAUGGUCGAUUUUAACACUUCCCGCCCUAUUUGGGUUGGUAUCGAACCAUCGACACUUAAACAUGAUGACUUGGUAUCGAUCUUUGUAAAGCAAUUGCACGACAGUUGUCAGUUUGCCAUAGAAAUCAAUGUCUGUACUUUCGCCUCCACCUGGGACAUGAACACCGCUAUUUUGCGUACACAACUUGUCAUCUCGUGCGGCCCCUAAAAAUUUGACGCCGUUAACAUUACAACCCGAGAACAAUUCAGCGCGAAUUGGGCCGAACGCCAAGUUAUAUAACUCAUCACUGUAAGUGGGGGAAUUCGAUGAUUUCAAUUUAUUCACCUAAUAGUAUACAAAACCAUUUACAUGUUAGUCUGACAAAAUUAAAUACUAAAAUUUAUAUUUGUCAAUUACAAAACACUUAUAACUUACAGAAUCCAAAAACCAUUGUGGAAAUAAUUCACGGUGUUUCCGGGCAACCAAAUGUGAUGGAUGUUCUCGCUUCAUCAUCUGUUCAUGCUCAUCUAAGUAGGCCAUUAUCUCAUCACAAUUGUUCAGUACGAACCAAUGCGCUACCUCCAUGUCAUUUCUAGAAAACGACUCUCCUCGUCCAGGAUCUCCAAAUGGUCGUGCGCUUUGGGCAAAAACAGAAAGUUUUUCAUUUCUCAUACCUCCGUCAUUAUUGCGGUGAGGACGAUUGAAAACCGUCUCCACAUCUUUUAAAUACAUUCCACAGAAAGUAAGCGACUCAUAUUGAACCCAAGCCUCUAUAAUUGAUCCUUCGGGCUUUGCCCUGUUGCGUACACUUUUUUUCAGCUCUCCGAGAAGCCUGCCAAAAUAAAACGAUAUGAUACAAAUUAGCAAAGUGUCGAUAAUGAUGCAUACACAAAUGAUAAAGAUUAUAUACCUUUCUAUUGGAUACAUCCAGCGAUAGUUGACAGGACCAGCAAGCAAUGCCUCUUCUGGCAAGUGAACCAUCACGUGCAUCAUACUUAUAAAGAAAGCUGGAGGAAAUAUCAUCUCAAACUUGCAUAGGACUUGGACAAUGUCAUGGCGCAACUGAAACAUGUCUGUCCUUCGCAAUGUUUUUGCCGUCAGUUGGGAAAAAAAUCUGGAUAACAACAUGAUUGGCUUCACCACAUCUUCCGGCAGUAAGUGUCGAAUACCCACAGGAAGUAGGCGUUGCAUGAACACAUGGCAGUCAUGGCUCUUAAGUCCAGUAAAUUUACCCCCAUCGACAUUCACGCAACGUGCGAUAUUAGAAGCAUACCCAUCGGGAAAUUUGACAGACGAUACAAACUUUAGAAACUCCUUUUUGUCAUUCGGUUUCAUAGAAAAGAAUGCAAGAUCCCUUCUAGCUUUAUCACUGUCCCUAUUCAUCCAUAAACCCCUUCGUAUGCCCAUUCUUUCCAAAUCAAGACGAGCUUUGAUCGUGUCCUUCGUCUUCCCCUCGAUAUCUAGAAUCGUGCCCACCAAUGUGUCGAAAACAUUUUUCUCAACAUGCAUCACAUCUAGAUUGUGCCUCAAUUUCAGUUUCGACCAAUAUGGGCGCUCAAAAAACAUAGACUUGUGCGUCCAGUUCAAAUGUGUAGAAGGUCGGGUCCGACUAACUGUUUUCCCGAACGGAGCAAAAUCCAAACGGUUCAGCUGUUCCAAGAUCUCAUCACCGGACCAUUCUCUAGGUCUGAGGCGACGCUCUGUGUUCCCGUCGAACUCUUUAUCUUUUUCUCGCCACUCGUGGUCCCAUGGCAACCAUCUCCGAUGACCAAGGUAACAAACUUUUCCCGCGUGCCAACCAGAAGUUACAUCUUCCUUGCAUACAGGACAUGCCAUAUAACCCUUUGUGCUCCACCCAGAAACCAUUGCAUAUGCUGGAAAAUCAUUCACAGUCCACAUAACUGCUGCUCGCAAAGUGAACAUCCUCCCAGUUGAUUUAUCGUACGUGCGAACACCGUUUGUCCAUAAAUCCUUCAGCUCAUCAACCAGAGGCCUUAAGUACACAUCAAUUGACCUGCCAGGAUCCUCAGUUAUCAAAACAGUCAUCAUCAUGUAUUCUUUUUUCAUGCAUUUCCAAGGCGGCAAAUUAUAUGGGAAUGCGAAAAUCGGCCAAGUGCUGUGGUGUUGGUUUAGAACCCCAUACGGAUUGAAUCCGUCAGUGGCAAGUCCCAAUCUAACAUUUCGGGGAUCAGCAGCAAAUUCGGGGAACGUUCGAUCGAACUCUUUCCAUGCCUCCCCAUCUGCAGGAUGCCGCAUCACAUCAUCGUCUACCCGUUUUUCCUUAUGCCAUCUCAUGUCUGUGGCAGUAUGCGUUGACAUAUACAAUCGCUGCAACCUAGGUUUAAGGGGCAGAUAACGCAUGACUUUUUGUGGUAUCUUAGUCGUUCUAUUCUGGGAUGUCAGUUUGAACCUCGACUCAUUGCAUAUAGGGCAUGUAUCCAACGUUUCAUGCUCUUUGUAGAAUAACAUGCAAUUGUUUUUGCAAGCGUGGAUUUUUUCAUAACCCAAUCCAAGACCGUGCAACACCUUCUGUGCAUGUUUAUGGUCUUUCGGCAAACAAUUGUCCGUCGGAAGCAUUCUCUUGAAAACCCCCAAAAAGUAAUCAAAACACAAGUUCGACAUACGAUACUUUAUUUUUCCGUGCAUUAGCUCCACAAUGGCAGUGAGAACGGAAAACCUCUCGCACCCCGGGUAUAACUCUUGGUUGGCAUUUUUUAACAGUUUUUCAUACUGUUCAAACUCCGCACUGUCUAUUGGUGUAGGCACGUCAUCUUCCCCUUCCUGAUUGAUGUUGGUCGAUGCGAAUGGAAAAGCAUCCUGUAUAAUACCCAUGACUUGAUCAUUAGGAUCCACAAUAGGUUCAACAUUGUCCACUCUCGGGGCAUUUGAAGACGAAGCAUGGUCUACUUGUUCGCCGUGAAGGUUCCAAAUGCUAUAUGUUUCAAUCAUUCCAUUCCUUACUAAAUGAAAUCCAACAUUUUCAAUUGUCUCCCACAACGUGUUGUUACACCUCCUACAAGGACAACGGAUUCUAGUUGCACCCGGGUUGUGUCUACGUGCAAACUCAAUAAAAUCCUCGAUUCCAUCCAAGUAUUCGUCUGCGCAUCUAUUCGGGUUCUGUAUCCACCUUCUGCUCAUAAUUCCUGAAACCACAAUCACGACACAACAAUCACAACAACUUCAUACGAAGUUAUAAUGUCACCUUAUGCCUCCGGUAAGGGCCCUAUCCCAUUCGGGAAUGCAUAGUCCUGUCACGUAACCUACGGCUACAUGAGAUUAGAUUUCGACGUGGAUUAAUUUCAGCAGCAUCUCGACACAGUUCUUGAAGUGGGCAUAGGUAUAAAUACCUACGUACCACCCGAAGAACGUACCGAGAUGACACCGAAAUCUCCACAAUCGAAACCUAAUCCUGUAGCCGAAGAUUAUGUGACAACACUAUGCAUUACCAAACUGUCCAAAUAAUGGGACAAUUCAAGAAUUAAUUGGACCGCAGUCAUGCAUUACGCAUCCAUGCACGAAAUUCAACUAAUCUCGAACGGGAAACUACGUGUUACUAAACAUAAAAAUAAAAGUACGAAGUUAAUUUCAAUUAACUUCGUACAUCACAACACAUUGUGCUAUGUCACGCACAAUUUCACAACAUUAUACACAUAUAACUUCACAAAAAAAUUACAAACAUAACAAACAAACUUUUACAAUAACAUACCUUCUCAAUCGUUCUCCACCAAUCACAAAUAUCCCUAACGAUAACAAAAUUAAUAGCGUUACUACGAAUUUACAUUAAUACAUUUAAACUAACGACAAAAAAUACAUACCCAAUGAACGUACUGAAUUCACAGUAGAGCAACGGCAGAGAGAGUGAGAGAGAGGUAGAAUGCAGUGGGAGAGUGAGAGAGAGGCAGAAUGCAGAAACUGCAUUCUGCCUCUGCAAUGGAACUGGCUAAAAUGAAGAAGAAGGACUUUGCGCGACUAACAAUCCAAUCCGUCGCGCAAAAUGCCGUCGCGAAAACCCACUUUUCCGUCGCACAAAAAAACAUUUCCGUCGCGCAAUUACCUGCCGACAUCAGGUUUUUUGCGCGACGAAUACAAUUAUCCGUCGCACAAACAUCCGUCGCGCAAAUAACAUUAUUCGUCGCGCAAGGUUUAUAUUACGUCGCGCAAAUAACACUUAUUUCGUCGCGCAAGAAAUUACACUUUACGCGACGAAGGUAAUUCCGUCGCGCAAAAAAGUUUUUUCCACCCUGCAUUUUGCCGCCAAAAUUAAGUAACCCUCGUUUUCUUACGCGACGGUACAUAUUUCCGUCGCGCUAAGGCGUCUUUUGCGACGAAAAUGUUCGUCGCGCAAGAUUCUGGCGCCAAAAACAUAAACUGGGGAUUUUUCCCCGACCUUUGCUCGACGAAAUUAGUUUUGGUCGCGCAUAGAUUGUUUGCGCAACGAAGAUUGUUCGUCGCGCUAGUGUUCUGCUGUUUGCGCUACGGUAUUUUUUUUUCGUCGCAAUAGUGAUUUUUGCGCGACGAAAAUAUAUUCGUCGCGCAAACGUCCGUCGCGCAAAUAGUAAAUCGUAGUAGUGUGAUUUGGUUUAGACUUGGUUUAAUUAUCAUUGUUGUGGUUGGUUCACCAAAAAGAUUUGGCUUAGAAUUACCAGUUUUGUUGUUGGUUUAGUUAUGCUUGGCAUUUGAGGAUCCUAUGCUUACUUGUAUGGGUAAUACAUUUUAUUGAUCGUUUCAUAUACUAAUUAUGAACUUUUAGUUCCAUUGUGCAUUUAAGAGUACACAUAUUUCAUAUGUAAUUCGAAAGUUUGUCGCUGAAAUUUCUGAGAAUUUGAAACUAGAUAAGCACACCUUGCACAAAGUUCAUAUAUUUUCUUCCAGCAAGUCUGUCUAUUAACCCCCCUUAUCUGAAAUUAAUUGUUAAAAGUUCUGAUUCAUCUUUAAUCAUUGUCUUACCCUUGUUGAAUAACACUCCUCAUUCUAAUUUAUAUUCGAAGUUUGAGGUUUCAAUUUCAAUUGUGGGCUUUGAUUUUACAGAUUUUGUUUGUCAAUUUCAAUUUGGACAAAGCAUAUGCAAACAAAGUAAGGCAUUAUCUAUUAUUUGGAUCAUUUCCAUAUGUUUAUAUGUUUUUAAUAUCAUUUGCCUAUGUAGUUGACAUGUUAUAACAUUUUCGUAGUGUUGAAUAUAUAUAUAUAAUAAUUUUAUUUUAGUGGAUGUGAGAUCUCAGUUUGUUGCUUUAUAUAAUUAUUUCUUUGCAAUUUAAUUUUUUUUAUCAGUCAUACUAUUGUUGACGGCUAAAAACCAUCAAGAAACAACUCUUAAGUUUUUUAAAAAAUAAAUAAAUAAAUAAAGAUUUGUUGAUGCUUAAAAAGCAUCAAGAAAAGAUAGUUUCUUGACGGUUUUGUGACGUUUCAUAACCGUCAUGAAACAUUACAUUUUGACGAACGUCUUUCUGAUAGUGGCAUCCGUGACGCUUUCCGAGCCAUCAAUUAAGGGCUAUCGUGAUGCUUUUUAGUUGUCAGCAAAAGGUGUUUUUCUUGUACUGUAUUCACUCAAAAUCGUUUUUCAUUUAGGGUUGCUAGUGUGGUUGAAUGCCAUUUGUUUUGUUAAUGAAUAUUAUACAUUAUGGAUUUUUGUAGAAAUGUCGCUUGAAAUUAUACCUCAGUUUCAAUUUGUCACCUUAAAGAAAAAUUUAAGAGAAAUGUCACCUUAAUUUUUCAAAAUCCACGAUUUGUCAUCUCACUUUAACAUCAUCCAAUUUUCCAUCUAUUUUAAGGGUAUUUUAGUCUUUUCAUUUUCAAGGGAAAAAAAGAGAGGAAGAAAAAGACCUCUCUCUUACUUUCUCCCCCAACCCAACCCCACCCGCCCCCCAAAACACAUCGCAUAGGACCGCCUCCCCCUUCCCCACAUUUCUUUUUUCUUUUUGGCCUACUUUUCCACUAUGUUUAUGUUGAAGGAUCUAAAGUUUUCUUGGUCACCAUCUAUUACGUAGGCUACCGACUUGUUGGUUUGGGUGGGUUGAGGGAAUUUGUGUGUGGAGGGCAGGUGUUCAUGUUGUGUGCACCAAGACCUUAUCGUUGAUGAACUAUGUGACGGCACACACACAAACUCGUUGAGAAUAAAACAAACAUACCACCAAGAGAGUAAAACAAACACACAAGGACACAAAGAUUUAUAGAGGUUCGGCCUCCUGCCUACGUCUUUUUGGUGAUUCACUCGAGAAAUUCACUAGUAUGUAAAAAUAACUUUGGUUACAACUGAACCCCCUUAGCCCUCACAAGAACCUUAGAUCUCUUUUCUCUCACCCUUGCUCAAACCCUUUGAUGCCCUUGUAGACACUCAAGAAUUCACCCUUGAAUUCUAUCUUGUGUUACAUCUUCUCUUCUCCCUUUUGUUAACCUAACCCUAAAAGUCCUAUUUAUAAUGCAUAGGACUUAAGUUACAAGUUAACUUGGAAUAGGAAACAUAAAAUACCCCAAAAAUUGGAGAAAAUCUGUCCAAAUCUAGCCUGCAAAAUCAUCCUUCUGCCGCUCGAGCUGCCGGUGGCGCUCAUGGGAUGGGGGAAUUGGAGAUUUUCUUUUCAAUUUUAAUUGUUUAAAAGAUAUACAAUUUUUUAUUAUAAUAAUUUUUCCAUUUUUAAAAUACACUUGAAAAUAGAAAGCUUAAAAUGCCCUUAAAAAUAGAUGGAAAAUUGGAUGGUGUUAAAGUCAGAUGACAAAUCAUGGAUUUUGAAAAAUUAAGGUGACAUUUCUCUGAAAUUUUUCUUUUAAAAGUGACAAAUUGAAACUGAGGUAUAAGUUCAGGCGACAUUUCUACAAAAAUCCCUAUACAUUACAAUAUUAUAACAAUAAAAUUGGCUAAAAUUGAUAUGUUCCCUCUUUUCUUUUCUUUUUCUCUUUUCCUUUUCAUUUUAUGCUUUGUUGCUAUUGCUAUGUUUAUCCUACAAAUAUAGCAACUUCUCCACCAUUCAUUUGUUAGUGACUACGAUGCUUAGUAACUUCUUCAGCUCCCCUUAUUUCCAUGUACUAACCAGGGACACCAGGUCAGCAUCUUCGGUAAGAAUCCUAACUCAAUCAAACAAUGACAUCUGUAAAUAUUCAAAAUUGGAAUUUGCAUUGUGAUAGUUGAAAGCAUCCUUGUCCCAAAAAAAGCCAAAAAAUAAAAUAAAAUUGAGAGCAUUAAGUCCUUUUCAAAUUAUGCUAAUAUGCAAAAUUGGAAUUUUGAUGGAGUUGCUUCCUUGACUUUUCCACCUUUGUAUCCAGUCCACUUUGCACAAGGAGCCAAGUUUGAGAGAUAGUUUUCUGUAUUUACACCAUCCAGGAGAAAAUUAAAAAACUAUUUCAUGCCAAACUAACUACGGAUUCUUGCAAAGGACCCAUUAGUGUAGUGGUUUGGAGUAUUUACUCCCUCAGGCAAGGUCUUGGGUUCGAGUCCUAGCAUUCAUGUUGUGUGUGUGAGUUUAAUAUGCUAUCACCCCUUCCAAUAGGAAAGGACCUCAAAAAAAAAAAAAAAACUACAGAUUCUUUAAUUGAAAGAAACCCCAUAUUAAUCAUCCUUUGGCACAUAAAUGUUUGGUAAUUGGCAUUAAAGUAUCUAAAGGUUACGAAAUUAAAGAUUUUAAUGCAAACCUAAAAUUGGAAAAGAGGGCACCAAUUCAUGUAAAAUAUGGUGUACUUAGUAGAUCCAACAUAUUUUUUUAGCAACCAAGGACAAUCAUCAUUUUUUUUUUUAAGAACCAAGGAUAGCUUACAUUCUAGUUUGUCCAUCAUGUCAACACAUUUAUAAUUAAAACUUCUUUUUUGGUGAGGUUUCAAUUUUUGUCACUGUAACAAGACCACAAUUGCCAUUCAGUAUGCUAACAUUGUCACUAUGUUUGCCAAUUGCAUAUUAUCUAGAACAUAAAGGCUUUGGUGUUUUGUAUAUCCUCGGGGUGCCAAACCUGUCUUUAUAAAAAUGGUCCUUAUGAUACUACUUUAACAACAAAAAAAUAUAAUAAACUAGGCCUUUGUAGUCACUGAACGAAUGUUUUCUCAUAGAUAUGACUAUUUAAAUGUAAUUACGGGAUUAAAACAUUAUAAUAAAUUGGAGUGAACCAUAACAUUAUAUAUGAUCCAAUCCUUUUCAUAUAUUUUUGUUCAAGACUUUGUUUUAGAAUGCUCUUUUACUAAUUUGGUACAGGUCCCUAAAAUCUACGCCUUUAUGAGGCAACGUCUUUAUUUCUUUGGUUAUUCCAGUUUAGAAUAUAUUUGUACAAAUGAGAUGACUCCCAACAUAAAGUCACAUUCAACCAAAAAGCAUGAAGUCACACACAAAAAGAACACGGACAAUUGCUAAGUUUAUCUUGUAUCCUUAUUUUAUUGAUCCAACCCAAUUGAAAAAUAAAAAAGAUGAUAUAAUAUAUUGUUCACUGCUUACAUCCAUGAGUAAAGUCCUCCAUUUGAAAUUGCGUGAUUAUACAAAAUUGGAAUGAAAAAAGAAAAUCCUACAACUAAAUUUGAUAUAUUCCUUUUCAUUUUAUGUUGGAUGUUAAGUUUUCUUGUUUCUUGUUGAAAAGAAAAAUGAAAAGAAAUAAAUAAAUUACACAGCUAGCAACUUCUCCACCUUCCCUUCUUCCCAUGUACUGACAACAAGGGAGGCCUUCAAUCCAAAAUAAAGACAAGGGAUGCCAGGUCAGCAUCUCAGAUAAGUAUCCCAACCAAAACCAAUCAAAUAAUGACAUAUGUAUCUCUUUUUGUGUUUUGUUCUAUUUCUCUUUGAAUUAACUGCGAAGUUUCAUAAGCGUGUCCUCCUUUUGAAAUUGUGUAUUAUUCAAAAUUGGAAUUUGCUGGUCAUACUUGAUAUAAGCUAAAACAGUUUCCAACAUCUUGUACCAUUUUUUUCCAGUGUGGGUCAUAACUUGAAGAAGCCCACCGACAAUUUCUCAAAAGCUAUUACCAUCCAACUUUGAAAAAUAAAAGUUUCAAAAGUUACCCCAAACAACAGCCCUUGAAAGAGAGUUUUCCAAGGCUAAAGAUUACAAGGAUGUUAUUGGCACAUGCAUUAACGUGUGACAAGAAGUUAGUUAUAUUUAUAAAGUAAAAGAACGAAGUACAUAACAUGUAAGUUGAUGCCAAAUAUUUGAUCAACAGAGCUAAACAUAAAACCACGACAAUAUAACGUUGUUCACCAAAAAUUGUGUUUCGUUGAGGGUCAGUAGUGUAGGUUUCAAGAUACGAUUUAUUUUGUUAAAGAAUAUUCUGAUAUUCUAACAAUAAAAUUGGCUCAAUUUGAUAUGUUUCUUUUUUUUUUUGUUUUUGUUUUCCCUUUCAUUUUAUGCUUUGUUGUGCUAUUGCUAAGUUUAUCCUAGAGACCAGGGAUGCUUAGCAAGUUUCUUCACCUGCCCUUCUUCCCAUGUACUAACUAGGGAUACCAUGUCAGAAUCUUAGAUAAGAAUCCCAACCCAAUCAAACUAUGACAUCUGUAAGUAUUCAAAAUUGGAAUUUGCAUUGUGAUAGUUGAGUGGAAGAAUCGAUUAAGGCUUGAGUGGAAGACAAACUUCAGUGGAGGAAAGUAAUUAAUCUCACAAGACAUAGCCCAUCAGUUGGCUCAUUUUUCUUGAGUGUGUAGUCCUGGCCUUGAGGCGAGGCCACAUUGCUUUGGAGAUUUCUUUCUACUUGGUGAAAUUAUAAUUUAGAAGAAGCAAACUGCGUUUUGCAAUUUGUGCGAUUCAAGCAUAUCUGACACUAGUAAUUAGACCAUAAUCUUUGUCCGACCAGAAAAUAAGAAAAGUUGUCUUGUACCAUUUCUGCCAGUGUGGGUCCCACCCACCCCAUACGAGUAAUUUGAAGAAGUCCACCGACAAUUUCCCAAAAGCUUUGGCGUCCAACUUUGCCGACCCCAUCCCCAUGUGAGGCCAUAGAAAAGUUUUCAGCCACAAUCAAAGAAGGGAACAGUCCUUGAAAAGAGAGGGUUUUCCAAGGCCAAGAUUACAAGUUCAUGUUAUUUACAGUCUCAAAAAGCUUCCAUACUUGUUUACAAACCUGUAUUUUCAAGUUGUGCUAGCCUAGCUAUUUGCAAAUCUUGGAAUAUUUUACUUCAUCCAAAUCCCUUGCAGUCUGCAGAGAAGAUAAAAGACAUGGCUUUGAUUGGAGAGGCUCUUAUCUCUGCUUCCGUCCAGGUGUUGUGCGACAGAAUUACUUCACCCGAGUUCGUUGACUUAUUUUGGCACAAGAAACUCGAUGAGCCACUCCUCAGGAAGCUGAGGACGACACUGUUGGCCUUGAACUUGGUGCUCAAUGAUGCAGAGGGGAAGCAACUUGUGAACCGAGAUGUGAAAAAGUGGCUUGACGAGCUCAGACAUGCUGUCUUUGAUGCGGAGGACUUACUGGAUGAGAUUGACACUGAAGCUUUGCGAUGCAAGCUGGAAGAAGGUGAAGAUCAAACUCACAAAUUUACCAAUAAGGUGCGGAACUUGCUCUUUUCUCCUCGUAGUCAUUUUUAUCAGAGCAUGAAUGAUAAGAUAAAAGAGUUACUAGCAAGGUUAGAAAACUUUGUACAACUGAAAAGUGCUCUUGGUCUGGGAGAAGUUGCUGGGAGGAAGGUUUCGCAAAGAACUCAAACAACCUCCUUGGUUCUUGAACCUUAUGUAUAUGGUAGAGAUGAAGUCAAAGAAAAGUUAUCAAAAGUGUUGCUAUCUGAUGAAGCAGGCAAGGAUCCUGUGUCUUUCCUCACCAUUGUUGGAAUGGGUGGGGUUGGCAAGACAACCCUUGCUCGAAUGCUUUACAAUGACGAUAAGGUGAAAGGGCAUUUUAAACUUAAAGCUUGGGCUUGUGUUUCAGACUACGAUGAUUAUAUUAAAAUUACUAAAACUCUCCUUGAGGCAGUCACUUCAAAGCCUUGUAACACGGCAAAUCUGAAUUUGCUUCAAAAAGAUCUAAGAGAGCAAUUGAGGGGAAGGAAAUUUUUAUUUGUGUUGACCUAUGGAAUGAGAAUAAUGAGGAUUUGAACUACCUUAGAGCUCUUUUUAUUACUUUAGGAACAAUGGGAAGUAAAGUCAUUGUAACAACACGGAACAAAAAUGCAGCAUCUGUCAUGCAAAAUGUUCAUAUUCAAUACUUAGAACCAUUGUCGUAGGAGGACUGCUGGUUAUUACUUGCAAAACAUGCAUUUGGAAAUGAAAAGUGUAGUGCACAUUCAAACUUGGAAGACAUUGGAAAGCAAAUUGCACUCAAGUGCAAAGGGUUGCCUUUAGCUGCACAAACACUUGGGAGUUUGUUACGUUGCAAUAUGGAUUUCGAGUACUGGAAUAGAAUACUAAAUGAUAGUUUUUGGGACCAACCCUAUGAUAAAACUAACAUUCUUCCGGCUCUAGGGUUGAGUUACCAUUAUCUUCCUACUCAGUUGAAACGAUGCUUUGCUUAUUGUUCAAUUUUUCCAAAGGAUUAUGAGUUUGAAAAGGAAGAUAUAGUUCAAUUAUGGAUUGCAGAAGGUAUAAUUCCACAAGCUGAGAAUGGAAAAAGGAUGGAAGCAUUGGCUAGAAUAUACUUUGAUGAGCUGUUAUCACGAUCGUUGUUUCAAAAGUCAAGUAAAUUCAGCUUCAUUAUGCAUGAUCUCAUUAAUGACUUGGCUAUGUUCAUGUCUCAGGGGUUUUGCCUUAGGCUCGAAGAUGGGGUAUCCCGUGAAGUUAAAAGAGCUCGUCAUUUGUCAUAUGCUAGGGGAGAAUUUGAUGCUGCUCCAAGAUUUGAACCAUUAUAUGAGGCUAAAUGUUUGCGGACCUUCCUACCUACCAUUUGUUGUGGGCAAAUCUACUGGAUCAGGCAUAAGAGAACUGAGGCAGUUCCCGCAACUUCGAGGAAAACUAUCAAUUUUGAAGCUACAAAAUGUAGUUGAUGCGAGGGAUGCACUGCACGCCAAUAUGAAGCACAAGAAAGAUCUCAAGGAGUUAGAGCUUUCAUGGGGUGCGGAGGAUGCUGAUGAUUCCCAAAAGGAGAAAGAUGUACUCGACAAGCUCCAGCCUUGCGUGAAUUUGGAGAAAUUAACCAUCAAAUUCUAUGGUGGAACUAAUUUUCCGAAUUGGUUAGGAGACUCGUCUUUUUCUAACAUACAAGUCAUGCAUCUCAGUGACUGUAGUUAUUGUUGGUCGCUCCCACCAGUUGGACCGCUACCGGCACUCAAACAGCUCUGUAUAAGAAGAAUGAAGUUUGUGAAGACGAUUGGCGUUGAAUUCUAUGGCAGAAAUGGAGCUUAUCUGACUCAGCCAUUUCGAUCUCUGGAGAAGCUAGAGUUUAGGGAGAUGCCAGAGUGGGAGGAAUGGGUACCAAGUGGAAGUGCAAGUGGAGGUGAAUAUGGUCCAGACUUUCCUCGUCUCCAGGAGCUGAUUCUAUACGAGUGUCCGAAGCUAAGAGGAAGUUUGCCUUGUGAGUUGCCUUGCUUGAAGAAGCUUACGGUGUAUGGGUGUAAGGUUUUACAUGAUGGAAGGGCCAUUACCGCAACUACCAAUAGUCUUAACUAUAAAUCUCUGGAAGAAUUGAAUAUAAGUGGUGGAUGCCAAACUCUGUUAUCAUUAUUAGAGACAAAGCUCCUGUCCGGACUUGAGAUUCGAAAUGUUGUUGACAUACAGUGCUUGCCCAACUGCAGUCGUCUUCAACAUUUGACUCUUUCGAAUUGUCCAACGCUGUCAUCAUUUCCCAAAGAUGGCCUACCCACUACAUUGACAUCACUUUAUAUAAACAAUUGUAGGAAAUUAGAAUUCCUACCUCAUGAGAUGUUGGCCAAAUUAACAUCGCUUGACUAUUUGUGCAUACAAAAUAGCUGUGAUUCAAUGAGGUCCUUCCCGUUGGGCAUUUUUCCCAAAUUGACGAGGCUUGAAAUUCGUGGUUGUGAGAAUCUGGAAUCCCUUUCCUUGAUUGAAGAAGAAGGAGCUGUUGAGAAUCUCAGCCAUCUCAAUUACUUGCAAGUCUAUAACUGUCCAAAAAUGGUGUGUUUUCACGAGGGAGAAUUGCCCACUCCCAACCUGAGUCACUUUGUAGUCGGUGGUUGCGAGAAUUUGAAGUCAUUGCCCAAAAGCCUUCACACCCUCACUGCCCUUCGAUCUUUGUCGAUAUGUAAUCUUCCGAAUCUGGAGUCAUUUGCAGAAGAUGGGGGUUUGCCUCCCAACCUCCGACAAGUAAGUAUUAGGAAUUGUGAGAGACUGAGGGCUUCAUCAGUGGGUUUGCAAGCACUUGACUCCCUUGAGAUCAGUGGAAGUGACCAUGUAUUCUCUAUCACACUCUUCACAUCUAUUCUCUAUCAACUCUGAAAUCUUUGGACGGAAAGGGUCUUGGACACCUCACUUCUCUUCAAGAGCUAGAUAUUAACAGGUGUCCAAGUCUGGAAUUCCUGCCAGGAGAGGAACUUCAACACCUCACUUCUCUUCAAAAUCUAUACAUUUGGAACUGUCCCAGUCUUCAAUGCUUGCCAGAAGAGGGUUUUCCAUCAUCUCUUUCUCAUCUGAGUAUCCGCCGGUGUCCUACCCUGGAGGAAAGGUAUAAGAAUAAAACGGGACGAGAUUGGGCCAAGAUAUCUCACAUUCCUUGCAUCGAGAUAGGCAACGAAGUGAUCAUAUAAUAUGAGCUAUUCCAUAUUUCACGCUCAACCCUCAACUCUCAAAUCAAAGUCAGGUGAGGUAUGUGCCUUCUCUUACUUUAAAAAACUGCUGCUCAAUAACACUCUUCGCACUCUAUAUAUUAUGGCCUGUCAGUCUAAAAUUCCUGCCAGGAGAGGAACUUGAACGCCUCUCUUCACUGCAAAGGCUACAUAUUUGUGGGUGUGACAAUAUCCAAUUCCUGCCAGAAGAGCGUUUGCUGCAAUCUCUUUCUUAUCUGUGCAUCGACCAUUGUUUUGCCAUGUAGAAAAGGUAUCUCACAUUCCUUGCGUCAAGAUAGGUGAAGAAGUGAUCAUAAGAUAUGAGCUCUCUCUCCCUCUCGCUCACAUACAAAGUACUUAAAACACUCAAUCUGAUUUCUAUUAUUAUUUUGCUCAGUAAAUUUUGUUUAAAUUUGCUUUGUUUCUCAUUGCGCUUGUUCUGCUUAUCACAACUUAUAUCCUAUUUAAAUCUCAAAUGCUGAAUAGUUAGCAGUCUUUUCGCAGGACAGCAUAUCUUCUCUUGGAGAGCUAUUCAUUUGCAAGGUUUCUUUAUGUGUCAUUUCCAGAGGAGGGUUUACUAUUUAAUAGAAAGGUUCACCUGGAAUAUCUCAAAUGACACAUUCCCAAAUACAGGCAUUGAAUGCACAACAUUUUGAGGUACUAUUUUUGUAAUAAAAAUGUACUUGAGUCUCAUUUGAGCUAGUUUAAAUUGUAUUCAAUGUCUAUGGAUAACCUGUGAGCUUAAGUUGUAAGAUAAAACUCACAGUAUAUUAUUAGGGUUUAGGGUUCAACAGGUGAGCUUAAGUUGUACUUUCCUAGGUACUGCAUGUAUAUUAUCUUAGUAUCAACACUUGGUCUUAUGUGGACGAGAGAGAACAUUUGAGGAAUUACAAAAUCUUCUUAGUGAAUUAAGCUUGUUUCAGCUCUGUUUGUCAUCCCUCACAUUUUCUUUGUUAAGCCUUGAUUUUUUAUUAGACAUACGAAAAAAUGCUUUUAUAAGACAGGAGAUGAAUGCUUUUAUAUGUUGAUGUCGUAGUCAGUCUUCAACCACACUCUGUUUUUAGAAUUCAUUUAUGUUACUAGUUGAGAGCUGCUGUAUUUUAUAUUUCGUUCCUGUAAUGUUUGGAUGUUUAGCUUGAGCAGUCUAGCUUAUCCAGUAGAUAACUUGUCCCCUGUUUUGUAAUGUUUUUGUUUCCUCUAAUGAAAGCAGGUUUUACUUAUCUUGAACUGCAGAAGCCUACUUUUUGACAUAGGUGGCAUGGCACAAACUCGCAUCCGCAUUUCCAUCCCCAUUGGCAUGCUGUCUCAUCUUUUCUAUUCUGUUACCAGCUUGAAGCUUGUGUGGACAUGUUAUGCUCUUGUAAUUCUGAUCACAAACAUCACUUGACAAAUGGAAAGUCACAAUCAGAUCUUUCAGGUGAUCUGGAGGUUUACUUUCUAACAUUUGUUUUCGUGGGGGGGAGACAACAAUACAGAAUUUAAAAUUUCUGAUAAUCAAUAGUAGUUUGCAUAUAUCAGCUGGGACCUGUAUGACUGUAUUAUGUAAUUAAUUAUUUCUCUUAUUGUUUGGGUACUGUUAAAAGGAGUUAGCCACACAACAUAAAAAAGGAGGUCUCUUAUUUCAUACAAUUUUUCAAAUGUGAUCAUUAAUCCGUUUCUUUUUCAACAAUAGAGGAAUGUAUACUAAUCGUCUGGUCCAUCUGCUGCUUCACUCCCUAGUAGCUUCAUCUCCUGUCCUUUGCUUUAUUUCUGUUGAUGAAUGUUUUGUCUGGGUUAUUUAUUUUCAUUUCAUGUCCAUUGCUUUAUUUCUGUUUGGAUUCUUAAUUAAAUCUGUCCUGGACUUGAACAAGGGUUAGGUUAGCUGUAUAAUUUGCGGUUUUAUAUACACAACUGUCUACAUUGAUUAAAACCAGCAUUAUUCUAAGGUUCAUUUAGAAUGUAUUAUCACCAAAAUUAUAAAGAAUACUUCUAUUACAAUUAAUUUGUUGAUUCUAAUUUGGACUUGUAGGAACAGACCAAACAUGUUCAUGCGUGGCAUUGCUCAAGUCAUCAUCAUUCGAGACAGAGAAUAAGCCUUCAAGUGUCUGCUGAGUCAAUGAACCUUUCUAGAUAUCUCAAGUGUAAUGGAAAUUGAUGAGUUACAAAGGAUUUGUAAACAUUUUCUACUGGAGGCUAGAAAUGCUUCAAAUAAAUGACCGUGUUGCAAUUAUUUUGUAGGAUCAAAGACUCUGCAAAGAGGUAAGAAAGUCAUCAUCAAGUAACUUUGCUCUUCAAACUUUUUAUUUUUAUUUUUAAAUAUCAGUAAUAACUGGGAAAGCUUGCAUCUCCUUAAAUUGCUCAUUCUUACAUCUUUUAUAGUUUGUUGAUCUUGGGCAAGUGGAGAGAGAGGCGUCAAGUGAUACGCAACAACCAUUUUCUGUGAGCUGAUUUGAUAAAGAGAAAUGGUAUGCUUUCUUGUCUUAAGCGGUGUGUUCUGCAAUUAUUUGAAACAAAGGAUGCCGCACUUCAAGUUCGAGAAAAUCAGGUAUUUUAGUAUUUUAUUCUUGAGAAAUUUGAUUUAUGUAGAAACUUGAACAUGUAAAUAAAAUAAAUAAAAUAUAUUAUAUGCUGUUAAUGAGUUAAUAUGGUGCUUGCUUCUAGUUGGAAAUUUAUGUAGUCAUCUACCUAUGAUCAAAUAAAGAUGAAGAAUAAAAUAUAAUUGAGAGCAUCUUCCUCUCCCCUGCUUUGCUCAUCCCUUGUUCUUCCACUUCAGCCCCACUAUUACACCAUUUUUUCAGCCACAAUUAUAAUAGCUCCAUGAGCAUUAAGUCCUUUUCAAAUUCUGCUGACAUUCAAAAUUGGAAUUUGCUGGUGAUAUAUGAUAGCAUCUUUGUCCGACCAAAAAGAGAAAAAAAAAAAGUUGAUAGCAUAUUGUACCAUUUUGGCCAGUGUACGCAAUAUUAUUGCAUCCAACUUUGCAUAUUAACAUCAGUGGCCACAGUUCCAUGAUUUGAGUGCACAGAAAAGUUUCAAAAGUUGUCCCACAAAGAACAGUCGUUCAAAGUGAAAGAGAGAUUUCAAAGCUUAAUUACAAGUUCAUGUUAUUUACAAUAUCAAAAAGCUUUCAUACUUGCUUACAAACCUGUAUUUCCAAGUUCUGCAAACCUUGGAAUAUCACUUCAUCCAAAUCCCCUUCCAAAGCAGGAAAAAAUGGCAGCAGCUUUGAUUGGAGAGGCUCUCAUCUCUGCUUCUAUCGUGGUGUUGUGUGACAGAGUUACUUCAGCCGAGUUCAUAGACUUAUUUCAGCAGAAGAAACUUGAUGAAACACUCCUCAUGAACCUGAAGACGACACUGUUGAUUUUGUUUGCGGUGCUCAAUGAUUCAGAGGAGAAGCAAAUUGUGAACCCUGAAGCUUUGCGAUGCAAGCUGGAAGGUGAGGAUCAAACCCACAAUAAUUAACCAAAAAGGAUCUUUUUGAUUGUUUGAAAGGAGGGUCUUGAUGAUUUGAAAGGAGAGGGUUGCUUUAUUUCUGUUGGAUGCUUAAUUAAAUCUUAUUUGGAGUUGAACAAGGAUUAGGUUAGCUGUAUAAUUAGUGGUAAACGCCUUUUUCUAAGGGUCAUUUAGACUCCUAUUACGAUUAAUUUGUUGUUUCUAAUUUGGACUUGUAGGAACAGACCAAAUAUGUUCACACGUGGCAUCGCUCAAGUCAUCAUCAUUUCAGACUGAAAAUCAGCCUUCGAGUGUCUGUUGAGUCAAUAAACCUUUCUAGAUAUAUCAAGUGCAAUGGAAAUUCAUGAGUUACAUAGAGAUUUUUAAACAUUUUGAAGAUUGCAACACCUGCAAGUGAGAUAGGCGGUGACGAAAUCAGAGCUGAUUUUGAAGCCUCUGAUGCCCCUGUUGUUGCAAGUUGCACCUGAGAACAAGUUUUUUUUUUCUUUGGGGUAAAAAACUGGCAACAUGUUCGGAGCUGACAAUUCAAUCCCUGAUGAACUAGAGAAGCAAAGCUCCGGUAAGGAAAUUGGUCAAGGUUGUGACAGGGAUGAUUGAUGGUGAAAUGGAUGCUAUUUCUUAUUGCAGCCUGUUCUCAAAGUUCUUGUUGGCAAAUGCAAUUGAUGGAGUAUUUUGAUUGGGAGGAGAGAUAAUGACAUGGCUUGACAAUUCUAGAACAGCCCAUCAUUAAUCCCAGAAAAAAUCCCGUUUCUGCUAAACAAUCACUUAUGGCAAGGCCAACUCUGUAAAUGGAAUUUGUGAUCCCUUCAAAUUGUACACAUUUUUUCUUUUUGAGGAAUUUAAUCAAACAGUAUUCUAAUGCAUUAUGAUAGCACUACACGCUUUUGUUGUAACAAAUUACAAGGAGGAAUUUGGAUUGAGUUUCUUGUAUAAGCACACCUUACACAAAUUUCGUAUAUUUUCUUCCAGCAAGUCUGUUUAUUAACCCCCUUAUCUGAAAUUAAUUGUUAAAAGUUUUGAUUCAUCUUUAAUCAGUGUCUUACCCUUGUUGAAUAACACUCCUCUUUCUAAUUUAUAUUUGAAGUUUGAGCUUUCAAUUUCAAUUGUGGGCUUUGAUUUUUCAGAUUUUGUUUGUCAAUUUCAGUUUGGACAAAGCAUAUAUGCAAACAAAGUAAGCAUUUUAUGUUAUACUUUUGAACUAGGUGUUGAUUUGAUUUAAUCAUAAGUUUUGCUGGUGCAUUUACUAGGCUAAUCAUUCAAUACUUUUGAUCAUAGAACUUCUUUGGUUGAUAUUAUCUUUGUUAAGUUUAACCAUAACUUUAGAGAGGGGACUUCAACAGAUUUAUAAUCUCAUCAUUAUAGUAUUAAAAAUUAGAGAUUAUUUAAGGCAUUGUCUAUUAUCUGAAUUCUGCUUACUUUUAGUUCAUAUGUUUACAUCUUAGCAUAUUCAUGUGAUUAGUGCGGCUCAUACCACAAAGGCAAUUUUAGGCUCAUCAAGUGCUAAGCAAUGUCAAGCUUCCAAAUGACAAGUUCUCUACAUAGUUUGAGACCUACACUUACUAGAUAUUAGAUCAUUUCGAUCAUUUCCAUAUGUUUAUAUGUAAUUGACAUGUUAUAACAUUUUUGUAGCGUUAUAUAAUUAUUUAGCAAUUUAAUUAUUUCUUUGCAACUUAAUUUUUUUUGUCAAUCAUACUAUUGUUGACUGCUAAAAACCAUCAAGAAAUAGUUCUCAAGUUAUAAAAAAAAAAAAAUUUUAAAAAAGAUUUGUUGAUGCUUAAAAAGCAUCAAGAACAGAUAGUUUCUUGACGGUUUUGUGACAUUUCAUAACUGUAGGGGGCUUUUUCUUCCGACAGCUGUAAAUGGGCUGGGCUGCCGUAAAGGGCAGACUGAUGAAAUUGUCCCCUUUUGUAUGAGCUCAAAAAUUAAGCCCCAAAAUACUUUGAAAGGGCAGCAGAGCCUUAGGAAGUAUUUUGGUUACCCUCACCAACUAAAACAACAACAACUUACAGGUAAUUACUUAAUGCUUAUGGAUGAACUCUUGAGCUUGGCAUGAGAGACAUAUGGCAUGGAAGCAAAAUCAACAUGAGUUUAGCACUGAGGGGAAAUUUAGGCUCUCUUGGGGGAAAAAGGGAAGUGUUAAGGUGAGAGAGGAGAAGUUUGUAGGAGAUUUAGCUAAGAAAGGAGAAAUAUAGAACAAUGCUCUUUUGGCAGCUUGACAGAUGCUCUGUUUGCCAGAAAAGGAAGAUGGAGAAGAAAUGUGAAUAGUGCAAGAGUUUGCUAGAUUUUUGCAGGUAAGAGAGGAAGCUUGCUCUCUGGGUCUGAGUUGAGUUUUUUUGUGUGGAAGAGACCUCAUUUUAUAGCCCUUGGAAACCAUCACUUCCCAAGAAACCCUAAUGGCUUCUACCCAUUUUGGCCAAGCUUUUCCCUUCCUUUCUCAUUUCCUUCCUUGACUUUACCCCUCUUGAUGAAAUCCCCUCUGCCUAUUUGCACCAUAUCAGAGUUUUUUGAAGCUCAAGGCCCCUUUUUCCCGCAGUUGUCUCAAUGGGAGACUUCCAUUCCCAGUCAUCUCCUUUAUUGCUUUCCUUUCUUUUUUUCAUGGCCAAGUUUGGUGGGGAAAGGAGUUGGGAUAUAUAUGCUGGUUUGAAGGGUGCUUCUCUUCCUGGCAUCUUACACACUAAUACCCCUUGGUUCCUUGAAUGUUUUGGCUUUGAAACUUGCUCUCCCCCCCCCCCCCCCCCCCCCCAUGUACUGGAACCUACCAGCAGCUCUAUUCAAUGAAUCUUCAGACCUUCUCUUCGUGGCUUUUAUUUUUUAUCAACGGGCUGGGGCUUUUGUGGCUCAUUGUGGCAAUUGUAUGGGCUAAGGUGGUUCAUUAAGUAAGUGGGCUAUUUUUAUUAAACAUUAGGCUUUUUGGUUGAGUCACUAGGCUAUUUUGAUUGGGCUAUUGGGCUAUUUUUUUCCUCUCUUGUGCUCACCCACAUGUUUGGACCAAAGAAAUGAGCUUGAGUCCUGAGGCUCCCAAGCGACCCGAGACUUUCCAUUUCUGGCCCAUCAAUGGGCCUCAUGUUGAUUUAUUACCAUCCAUACCACAACCCACUCAAGCAGGCUCCGGGCAUUUGAAUGACUUGGGCGCACUUAGGCUUGUAGUGUGGUUGGGUGCGAAAUAACGAUUUCGUGCUUGGCAUGUUUUAAUUUUAUCAUCCUUGGGAAAGGCUGCGAUGUUUGAUUUCGGCAUGGGCUUGUAGAGCUGGUAUGCUUUAUUUCAACUCCUAGCAUGACGAAUUAUUUAUUUAGCAUGGCACGUGAAUUACAACUCGCAUGUGGUGGGUUUUUGUGUACUACACCUUACGCCUCUUCUUAAUAGAACAUCGUUUUGGGCUGAUAAUUUAUUCGGGCCAAACCGUGAAUUUUUUGGGUCUCAAUAAUAACCAUCAUGAAACAUUACAUUUUGACUGACGUCAAGAAAUGGGGUAUCCCUUUCCUGAUAGUGGCAUCCAUGAUGCCUUCCAAGCAGUCAAUUAAGGGCUAUCGUGAUGCAUUUUAGUUGUCAGCAAAAGGUGUUUUUCUUGUACUGUAUUCACUCAAAGUCGUGUUUCAUUUAAGAUUAGUAGUAUGGUUGAAUACCAUUUGUUUUGUUAAAGAAUAUUAUACAUUAGGGAUUUUUGUAGAAAUGUCAUUUGAACUUAUACCUUAGUUUCAAUUUGUCACCUUGAAGAAAAAUUUAAGAGAAAUGUCACCUUAAUUUUUAAAAAUCCAUGAUUUGUCAUAUGACUUUAAAAUCAUCCAAUUUUCCAUCCAUUUUAAGGGUAUUUUAGUCUUUUCAUUUUGAAGGAAAAAAAAGAGAUGAAAAAAGAGACCUCUCUCUUACUUUGUCCCUCAACCCAACCCCACCCGCCCCCCAAAACACAUCACAUAGGAUUGCCUCCCCCUUCCCCACUUUUCUUUUUUCUUUUUGUCCUACUUUUCCACUAUGUUUAUGUUGAAGGAUCUAAAGUUUGCUUGGUCACCAUCUGUUACGUAGGCUUCCCAAUUGUUAGUUUGGGUGGGUUGUGGGAAUUUGUGUGCUCGAAACCCGAGACGAAUCUUGUGGAAUUCCCGACAUCACACCGAUGCCGGGCCCACUUCUGAACUAAAUUCUCUUUUCCAAAAUUAAGGAAAAAGAGUACGAGGCUUUCUGCCGAAAUUUCGACAGAGUAUUCCCUAUAAAUUUAACAUUUCAGCUUUGGUGGCCGUUCUCUCAUUUCAGCUUUGGUGGCCGGAUGAGAGAACGGUCGGCUAAAACGUGGCCAGCUGGCACUGCCGUCGCGAGAGAGAGAGAGAGAGAGAGAGAGAGAGAUUUUUAUCAAAUCAUUUUUGCCAAAAUUACGAUUAUGCAACUGAGGGUAUUUUGAUCGUAUCUUUUUCAUUAUAACUCUGAUUCAAGCCCACUACGUGUUUACGGACUCAUCUCGCCGUGCUCUAUGCAAUUGUAUAGUUGAAAUUCCCAAAUUCCACCCCAGUCAAAAAUUCAACUUUAAACCCUACAAAAUAUUAUAGGGGCAAAAUGGUCUUUUAUCUAAUUAAAUUAAUAAUUGAAAAUUUAUUUAGGACCGGGUUGUUACACUGUCGUUGAUGGACUGUGCGAUGACACUCACACAAAGUCCUUGAGAAUAAAACACACACACACCAUGAAGAGAGUAAAACAAAUACACAAGUACACAAAGAUUUAUAAAGGUUUGGCCUUCUGCCUACGUCCUCUUGGUGAUCCACCCGAGAAAUUCACUAGUACGUAAGAACAACUUUGGUUACAACUAAACCCCCUUAGCUUUCAUAAGAACCCUAGAUCUCUUUUCUCCCACCCUUGCUCCAACCCUUUGAUGCCCUUGUAAACACUCAAGAAUUCACCCUUGAAUUCUGUCAUGUGUUACAUCUUCUCUUCUCCCCUUUGUUAACCUAACCCUAAAAGUUAUAUUUAUAAUUCAUAGGACUUUAAGUACAAGUUAACUAGGAAUAGGAAACAUAAUAGACCUCAAAAAUUGGAGAAAAUAUGUUUAGAUCUCGUUAGGAAAUUGCACAACACGUGCGAUCCGCUCGAGCGCCUGCAAAAUGAUCCCUUUGUCGCUCAAGCUGCCGAUAGCUCAUGGGAUGGGGGAAUUAGAGAUUUUUUUUUUUUUCAAUUUUAAUUGUUUAAAAGAUAUACAAUUUUUUAAUAAUAAUUUUUCCAUUUUUAAAAUACCCUUGAAAAUAGAAAGAUUAAAAUGCCCUUAAAAAUGGAUGGAAAAUUGGAUUGCGUUAAGGUCAGUUGACAAAUCAUGGAUUUUGAAAAAUUAAGGUAACAUUUCUCUUAAAUUUUUCUUUAAAGUGACAAAUUAAAAUUGAGGUAUAAGUUCAAGUUACAUUUAUGCAAAAAUCCUUAUACAUUAUGAUAUUCUAACAAUAAAAUUGGCUAAAAUUGAUAUGUUCCCUCUUUAUUUUCUUUUUCUCUUUUCCUUUUCAUUUUAUGAUCCAAUCCUUUUCAUAUAUUUUUGUUCAAGACUUUGUUUUAGAAUGCUCUAUUACUAAUUUGGUACAGGUCCCUAAAAUCUCGGAGCCGCCUUAGUACAUUCAUAAUGUACAUGUUCAGAGUUCAAGAAUAAUGUAUAGAAUGUGAAAUUGACGAUGCCGGCCUUUAUGAGGCAACGUCUUUAUUUCUUUGGUUAUUACAGUUUAGAAUAUUUGCACAAAUGAGAUGAUUCCAAGCAUAAAGUCACAUUCGACCAAAAAGCAUGAAGUCACACACAAAAAGAACACGGACAAUUGCUAAGUUUAUCCUUGUACCCUUAUUUUAUUGAUCCGACCCAAUUGAAAAUUAAAAAAAGAUGAUAAAAAAUAUUGUUCACUACUUUAAAAUCUAUGAGUAGAGUCCUCCAUUUGAAAUUUCGUCAUUAUACAAAAUUGGAAUGAAAAAAGAAAAUCCUACAGCUAAAUUUGAUAUAUUUCCUUUUCAUUUUAUGCUGGGUGUUAGGGCUUGUCAAUGGGCCGGGCUAGGCUAGCCCGGCUCAAAUUUAAUGGGCUUGGGCUAGGCCGGGCCAAGCUUUAAAGAGGAGAGAGAAAAUAUCCGGCCGAGUUUUUUAAGAAAAUUCAAAGCCCAAGCCCGAAUCACUGCUGUCUAGCCCGGCCCAAAUUUAAUGAGCUUGGGCCAGGCCGAGCCAAGCUUUAAAGAGGAGAGAGAAAAUAUCCGGCCGAGUUUUUUAAGAAAAUUCAAAGCCCAAGCCCGAAUCACUGCUGUCAUUUCAUUGAUUUGUGACGAGCACAACCACCAAAUCAGAAUUUACUCACGAAAAUAUCAAGUAUGUCUAGCAAAUUUCAAUUUUGAAUAAUACACAAUUUCAAAAGGAGGACAUGUUGCAAGACAGCAUACCUUCUCUUGGGGUGCUUUUCAUUUUGCAACAUUUCUUUACGUGUAAUUUCCAGAGGAGGGUUUAUCAUUGUAUAUAGCUUUUCGGGUGGUUUGUCUACAAAACAAAUGUCACAAAGAAGGAGGAGAAACGGAAAAGAUUUACUUGGAAUGUCUCAAGUCUCCUUUGAGAUAAAGGCAUCGAAUGCACAACAUUGCUUUUGUGCUAUUUCAUAAUUAAAGUGUGCUUCCCAAGUCUCCUUUGUGUUUUGUAACUUGUAAUGUUUGUUUUUUUGUUUCCCCUGUUUUCCCUCUUAUAAAAGAAAUACAGGUCCAAACCACACGGAUCUACUUGCAUAAUAAUGGACCAAAUUUAUGAUUUUUAGAAAGAACCUUCUGCCGGUGGAAUCUUGGGCUACUGUUGUGGCUCUCCUCUGUGUGCCUCCUUUUUAGAACGGUAAAAUAUUCAAAAUACUAGAAAAUGUUCGUGAUUAAUAUAAAUAUUAAGAAUUGAAAUUAUUAAUUAAAUGAGGAUAAUAUGGUAAAUUCACACUUUUUUAUAUUAAAAAAAUUAAAAUUAAAAGAAAAAUCAGAUAAUUGAUAUUAUUUUUAUGGAACACAGCUACUCAUUAUCUUUUUUAAUUCUAAAAUAAAUUUAAAUUAAAGAAAAAAACCCCUCUCACAGGCACGGAAGCGCGUGCUCAGAGGCUAGUUAAAAAUAAUGAACUUUGCUUCUGAAGACGUCUAUACCAGACCCACUCAACCUGCUUUAUGAUUAUACAAAGAACAAACUCGUCCUUAGACUCAUUUGGUUAAACUUAGAAAAUAAUGAAACAAAAAUAUGCACUCCCACAAGUAACACAGCCAGGAUUGAAAACAACUGGACAAAGAAAGGCAUGUUAAAACAGAAUUUUCAACAACUCAUCACCAUUAGACAAGAAAAAGAAAAAUCAAUACAAAAACAGAAAGAACAGAGAAUAAAUGUGGUGGAAGAAAAACGUUGAAGCCAUUUGUGAAUCCAACAACACUACCACUCUGUUUCUCUCCUUUUGUUCAGGCGGAUCUGCAUAUAUCCUAAGGCGUAUUACGGAAACAACUUCUUGCCGUUAUACUUGAAUGUUGUGGAUGCUUCAACGUUGCCAUCUGGGUGGAGUGGAUUUGUCCAAUUCACCUUCACUAUGGUAUAUACGUCCAAAUUGUUGUUAUUUGAAAGGCUUCUAAAUUUUAACAUUUUGAUUUUUAAAUUUUGUUUAAAUAUUUCGGCCCACUUAGUUCUUCUCAAAAUAUGUCAUCAAUAUCGUUGAAAGGUUGAACUUAGUGAAUUAUUAUAGUGCAGUACUGUAGAAUAGACACAUGAUAUAAUUUGUCCACAUGUUAUAAUAUAAGUAAAUAUUUAUUGAUAUUAUUUCUAAAAAUAAGAAAUAUCAACCAUUAUAUCCUCCCAUAUUAUAAUACAUAUACAAAUUAUACCACAUUAUCAUACUCUAAUACCAUUUUAUAAUUUCUCGUACUUAGAGCGAGUCAAUGACAUUACAUAAUAUAUAAUUGUUCAUAUAAUGGGGCAACUAACGUGAUCAACAAGUUGUGGUGAUUAAUUUAACAUAAUAAAAAAUAUACCAUUUACUUGAGUGAUGUAACAAUUUGUUCUUUUAAAUUGGAUUGCCAUCACUUUAAUAUGAUAUGUUUCUUAUUAUAGUGUCCCAUGUUAAGUGCUUCAGCAUUGUUUGUGGUGUGUACACAAAUUUUCUUAUAAAAUGUUUUAAUGCUUCUCACAUGUAUAUCAGAUAUAGACAGUUGAUGUGACUUAGAAAUCAAAUUGUCAAUAAAGCAAAAAAAUAUAAUUGGUGAUUGAGGUCCAAUUUAAUAGAAAAUAGUCUUAACUUGUAUAUUAGAGGUUUCAGAUUCGAAUCCUCACUGCAUUAUUGUUGUAUACGUACACGAGAAAUCCUCUUCUCCAAUAAUUUAGACUAUCACUUAUACUAAAAAAAUAUAUAUAUAUAAUGACUUUUACGGAUGCAAACAUAAAAUUACACCAAACAAUAAUGGAAUAGAAAGAUGCAAGUUAUUUUUUUUUUUUUUACAUCUAAAGUAUACUUUAUAUAUAUAUUUAUUAUGGGUGUUAUAACCGUUUAAUUUUCAGUUUUUAUUUUCUAUUUAUUGUUUUAAUUUUUAUGGUUUAAUGUGUAUGAAGAUUACAAGUAUUGGAUGUCUACCACUCCUCCUUCACAUCUGAAACAAACCACCAUCUCAUUUCUGUAUUUUCAUACUUUCAUAUAUUUUCUACUUUCCAGAUUAUUAUUUUUGGGCAACGGUUCUGUGACUUGCAGAUUUCUAUCCGAUUGUUAACAUGCUCAUAGCGGACCUUGAGCUUGCGUAUUGGGGAUCGUAUCUUGGAGCCUUAUAGACCUUUAUUACCUGCAUGUAGGGAGGUUAUAAAUGCUUUAGGUCAGCAUCUUUGACGUGCUUUUGCUUUCUUUUUUUUUUUACUUAUUUCUUCGUUUCUUUAUUUUUACUUUACUUUUAAAUUUUUAUUUUAUGUAUUAUUUAUAUUUAAAAGUUUUGAAUAAGAGUUUUACAGAAAAGGAAAAACACAAUUUCAAAUAACACAAAUUUCUCGUUUUUGGUUCUUAAAAUAAAUGAAUUUUUUACUUAUUUGUGAACUGAAAUGCCUCUAAAAAAAUAAUGAUAGUUUGAAGAAUUUGAUAGAAAUUAAAAAAUAUCCUCAAAUUACUUGGAAUUGAAGACCACAUAGGCAAAAACACCAUUUUGGACAAAGGCUGGUGAUAAUAGUCGAUAUCAUCUUUAAGUACUUUAAUAUGAUAUGUUUCUUAUUAUAGUGUCCCAUGUUAAGUGUUUCAGCAUUGUUUGUGGUGUGUACACAAAUUUUCUUAUAAAAUGUUUUAAUGCUUCUCACAUGUAUAUCAGAUAUAGACAGUUGAUGUGACUUAGAAAUCAAAUUGUCAAUAAAGCAAAAAAAUAUAAUUGGUGAUCGAGGUCCAAUUUAAUAGAAAAUAGUCUUAACUUGUAUAUUAGAGGUCUCAUAUUCGAAUCCUCACUGCAUUAUUAUUGUAUGCGUACAUGAGAAAUCCUCUUUCCUAAUAAUUUAGACUAUCACUUAUACUAAAAUAUAUAUAUAAUGACUUUUACGAAUGCAAACAUAAAAUUACACCAAACAAUAAUGGAAUAGAAAGAUGGAAGUUUUUUUUUUUUUUCCUACGUCUAAAGUAUACUUUAUACAGUCCCGAUCUCUUGGACCACAGGAGUCCAAGAGAUUGUGGUCACCCACCGUUGGAUAUUAAUCCAAUGGUUCAAAAUGAUAUAUAUAAAUGCAAUAUGACAUAAAUGAUUAUUACCCGAUCCAAGUCAACCGUUGAAUUUACAUUCAACGGUGGGUGACCAUAAAUCUCUUGGACUACAGGGGUCCAAGAGAUCAGGACUGAUACUUUAUAUAUAUAUAUAUAUAUAUUUAUUUAUUAUGGGAGUUAUAACUGUUUAGUUUUCAGUUUUUAUUUUCUAUUUAUUGUUUUAAUUUUUAUGGUUUAAUGUGUAUGGAGAUUACAAAUAUUGGAUGUCUAUAAAGGGCCACUCCUCCUUCACAUCUGAAACAAACUACCAUCUCAUUUCUGUAUUUUCAUACUUUCAUAUAUUUUCUACUGUCCAGAUUAUUAUUUUUGGGCAACGGUUCUGUGACUUGGAGAUUUCUAUCCGAUUGUUAACAUGCUCAUAGCGGACCUUGAGCUUGCGUAUUAGGGAUCGUAUCUUGGAGCCUUGUAGACCUUUAUUACCUGCAUGUAGGGAGGGUACAAAUGCUUUAGGUCAGCGUCUUCGACGUACUUUUGCUUUCUUAUUUCUUCGUUUCUUUAUUUUUGCUUUACUUUUAAAUCUUUAUUUUAUGUAUUAUUUAUAUUUAAAAGUUUGAAUAAGAGUUUUACAGAAAAGGAAAAAUACAAUUUCAAAUAACACAAAUUUCUCGUUUUUUGUUCUUAAAAAAGAAGAAGCAUUGAUUGGGGAGUUAUGGUAAACUCAAUUUCAAUGGUUGCGAUGAGAGGCGGUGGCGGCGAGGAGAGGACGAAGGCUUUGCUGCCGACGGGGUGGUGUGGGUGGGUGGAGACCUCGGCUGGCUGCUUGGUCCUGGGUUCUCCUUUAAUUCUCUGUUUUCUUUUUUCUUUUUCUUUUUCUCUUAGAGUUAUUGAUGUUAAGUGAAUGGACAGAUGCCAAAAUAGGGACAGAAGUAGGGGUGGGCAUCAAUCCGGCCGAUCCGGUCAAUCCGGCCGAACCGAUUAUAUUGGAUUGGUUUGGUUUGGUUUUGACCAAAGAAAAAGUCAACAUUUUGAAAAACCGAACCGAACCGGUUUGGUUUGGUUCAGCUGUGGUUUGAGAGUUUUAAAAACUGUCCUAAACCGAACCGGACCGAUUAUAAAUCAAUUUAUUAUUUAUUUAAUUUAGUUUACAUGUGGCAAGGUUUGUGUGCGUUUUGUGAGUCCGCGUAUCUGAAUGUUGGUGCACGUUUUGAUCUUCUAAUUUGCAUAUCCCAGUUAUUUGUGUGUGCUUGUAUUUCCCUCUCUUUCUAUCUCUACUAUGUGUGUUUGCUCUUUGUGUUGUGUGGCUCUUCUUACUCUAUCUAUCUUAAUUAAUGGGUCCAUUUCAUAAUUUCAUACGCAUUCAAACUCCACCUCUGUGAUAAAAACAUUUACCUCUUUGUGAUAAAAGCUUUUCAUUUGUUUGUAUUUCUCUUUGGCUUUUUGACUCACUCACUGUCUUUCUUUCUUUUAAUGCUACUUGUGAUGAAUGCAAUGAGUAAAUUUAAUGCUACUUGGUUAAUGCAAAUUUUGUAUAUGUUUGUUUUGAUGGAAAUUGUGAACUUAGAUGCAUGCUAGACAUUGGACAACCUUUGAAUAAAUGGAAUGAUGUUGUAUUAGCCUUUGAUGGAAUGAAAUGAAAUGAUAUAAUGGCAAAAUGUUAGCAUUAUAAUGUAAGAGCAGGUUGAAAAAUGCAUGGUUUUGUGUUAGGCACAAACCGGCCGAACCAAUCCGAACCAAACCGAUUACAAGUGGUUUGGAUUGGUUCGGUUUCCAUUAUGAUUUUAGGCUAAUCCGAACCAAACCGGACCGUUAUUUUCUUAUUGGUUCAGCUGUGGUUUGAGAGUAAAACCGAACCAAUCCGGACCGUGCCCACCCCUAGACAGAAGAUGUGAACCCAAUUAUAUACAGCUGAUUACAUAAAGUAACAAAUUAAUUAAUACUUGAGUGGAGGACAGGCUUGAGUGGAAGAAUUGAUUAAGGCUUGAGUGGAAGACCAACUUCAGUGGAGGAAAGUAUAGAUAAGGAAAGCAUGCCUCGUUUAACGGCUUUAUCUAAUAAAGAUUAGUUGUUGGCACUUGGAGUUUCUUAGGAAUGCUGGUUUUGUUUCCUUGGUGGACUUGAAAGGUGGUGCGUUGGCUCGGACAUCUCCCUAGUAAUUAAUCGAAGGUGGAAUCUUACAAGACAUACAGCUGCUCAUUAGCUGAAUAUCUCGCUCUCUUUAAAGAGAUCGAAGCAAACUGCAAUUUGCAAUUUGUGUGAUUCAAGCAUGAAUAUCUGAUAUAGUAACUAUACCAUUUGUUGGUUUGAUAAGAAAAGUUUGGUUAGCGAGGAUGAAACCAUAAAGUUCUCCAAAACACACAAAAAACACGAACAAUUGCUAAGUUUAUUCUUGAGUUCACACAUAUUUGUACAAAUGAGAUUACUCCAAGCAUGACUAUACCAUUUGUUGGUUUGAUAUGAAAAGUACGGGCAACGAGGAUAAAACCAUACAAACACACACAAAGAACGUGGACAAUAUACUAAGUUUAUCUUUGCGUUAUUGAUCCGACCUAACUGUAAAAUAAAAAAGAUAAAAAUAUAUAAUGUUCACUACUUAGAUCUAUGAGCACUAAAGUCCUCCUUUUGAAAUUGCACAAAACAUCACUUUUGGUCUUUGGUAAAUUUUUAAAAUAAAUGAAUUUUUUACUUAUUUGUGAACUGAAAUGCCUCUAAAAAAAUAAUGAUAGUUUGAAGAAUUUGAUAGAAAUAAAAAAAUAUCCUCAAAUUACUUGGAAUUGAAGACCACAUAGGCAAAAACACCAAAUUGCAACCUCACUUUAAUGAUAAAAAUGGUAAACUACAAAGACAAAAAUGACGUUUUGCCUUAUACAUAAUUGGAAUUUGCUGGUGAUAAUAGUCUACCAUCUUUUGUCGAUUUGCUGGUGAUAAUAGUCUAUCAUCUUUUGUCGGUCCGACCUAAAAAGAAGAAAAAGUUGAUGGCAUCUUGUACCAUUUUUGCCAAUGUGGGCCCAAACAAUUUGAAGAAGUCCACCGGCAAUUUCUCAAAAGCUAUUGUGUGAGUGUGAAGCUAAACCAAUAUUAUUUUGCAUAUACGACUCCACAUCCCCAUGUGAUGUGAGGCUACAAAAGUGUUUCCAAAACGAAAUAUGAUAUUUCAAAACGAAGCUAUGUAUAGAGUCAUUUGUAUUUGCUUUCACAAUAACAUUUGAUUUGUGAAAGCAUUUUAUAUUUAUACAUUCUGAUAUUCUAACAAAUAAAUUGACUAAAUUUGGCCAACAGGAUUUAGCCGAAUAGAAAAGUCCUUAUUUAUAGACUAGUGGUUUCAAAUUUAAAGUUUAGACUAUCGCAUGUAUUUAAAAAAAAAAAAACAAUUGGCUUAAUUUGAUAUAUUUCCUUUUUUUCCUUUUUCAUUUUAUACUGGGUGCCGUUAUUAAGUUUUAUCCUUAUUUUUUGUUGAAAAGAAAAUUGAAAAAAAAUAAUAAUUCCUACAGCUAGCAACUUCUCCACCUUCCCUUCUUCGCAACUAGGGAUGCCAUUGCAAGGUCACCAUCUCAGAUUAAGUCCUCCUUUUAAAAUUGUGUCGUUAUUCAGAAUUGGAAUAUAAUCCUGUACCACUUUGGCCACUUUUGAAGAUGUUCACCGACAAUUUCUCAAAAGCUAUUAAGCUGUACAUCCACAAUAUUAUUGCAUCCAUCCCCAUGUGAGGCUACAGAAAAAUUUUGAAAACGAAACUGGAUAUUUUAUCUCUAACAACAGCUUUCAUACUUCGUUUACCCUGUGUUUCCAAGUUGUGCUAGCUAUUUGCAAACCUUGGAAUAUUACUUCAUCCAAAUCCCUUGCAGAGAAGAGCAAGAUAUGGCUUUGAUCGGAGAAGCCCUCAUCUCCGCUACCAUCCAGACGUUUUGUGACAAAAUUGCUUCGCCUGAGUUCACCGACUUAUUUCGGCAGAAAAAGCUCGAUGAACAACUCCUCAACAAGCUGAAGACGACGCUGUUGACCUUGUCCGUAGUGCUUAAUGAUGCAGAGGAGAAGCAAAUUAAGGAACCUUUAGUGAGAGACUGGCUUGACAAUCUCAGACAUAAUGUCUUGGCUGCGGAGGACUUACUGGAUGAGAUCGACACUGAAGCUUUGCGAUGCAAGCUGGAAGAAGGUGAAGGUCAAACCCACAAUUUAACCAAGAAGGUACGUGAUUUUUAUCAACGCAUGAAUGUUGAGAUGAAAGAUUUAUUAGAAAGAUUAGAACAAUUUGUACAAGAGAAAAGUGCUCUUGGUUUGAGAGAAGGUGCUGGGAGGAAGGUUUCACAAAGAAGAACAACUUCCUUGGUUCAUGAACCUUGUGUCUAUGGUAGAGAUGAAGUCAAAGAAAAUCUGUUACAAAGAAGAGGAUUUGCCGUCAUCUCUUUCUCAUCUGAGUAUCUCGCGGUGUCCUGCCCUGGAGAAAAGGUAUAAGAAUAAGACGGGACAAGAUUGGGCAAAGAUAUCUCACAUUCCUUGCAUCAAGAUAGGAUACGAACUGAUCAUAUAAUAUGAGCUAUUCCAUAUUUCACUCUCAACCCUCAACUCUCAAAUCAAAGUCAGGUGAGGUAUGUGCCUUCUCUUACUUUAAAAAACUGCUUCUCUUCUUCUAAUUGAAUACAAAAACCAAAACACAUAUUCUCUUUCUCUUCCAAAAACCCAAAUACAUGUUGAACAUUGCCAAAUUUGAUCUCCAAAUUCCUAAUUAUUUCACGCUUUUUGUUAUUUUGUUGCUUAGUAAAUUAUGGUUGCUGGUCACAAAUUAUAGUCUGUUAAUAGGUUCAUGCCAUGAAUUAAUCUUUGGACUUUCCCAGGUACUGCAGGUUUGUUAUUAAUGUUGUGGCCUGAUAUUCGUCGUAUCAAUAGGUUGUCUUACGUUGAGGAGAGAGAUCGAUCAGCAAUUACAAAAUUGUUAGUGAAUUUAGCUUGUUUAUCAUCUCUCUCCUUUUGUUUGUUAAGUUUGGUUGUUCUAGGUUAAACCCUUGUCCCCGCAUUUCACAGCAACUCUAUGUUAUUCCACUCUGUUUAGUUUCAUUUAUGUUGUGAUUCGACUGCUGCUGUAUUUUAGAUUUCGUUCAUGUAAUGCUAGGAUGUUUAAUCUCUUAUCUGUGGUGGUAGUUGAGUAGUCUAGCUAAUCCAAUGAUAACUUGUCCCCUGUUUUGUAUUGUUUUUAUUUCUCUGGUAAUGAAAGCACGUUUCUUAUAAAUAAAUAAAAAAUAUUUCAUUGAUAUUCAUUGCUUAUUUUGAACUGCAGAAGCCUACUUUUGUCAGAGUCAGUAGAUGCCAGAAUGAAGUCAUUGCCUAAACACAUUGGCACCCUCACAGCCUUCGACAUUUUGGGAUAUAUGAUCUUCAAAAUCUUGUGUCAUUUGCCUCCCAACCUGCAAUAUUUUCAUAUUUUAAAUUGUGACAGACUGAGCCCUUUGGUGGGAGAUUACUGGGGUUUGCAAGGACUUGGUGGCAAUAUCUUGUAGACGUUUCUCAAGGAACAGCUGCUCAAUACCACUCUUCACACUCUAUAUAUUAUGGCCUGUCAGUCUAUAAUUCCUGCCAGGAGAGGAACUUGAACGCCUCUCUUCGCUGCAAAGGCUACAUAUUUGUGGGUGUGACAAUAUCCAAUUCCUGCCAGAAGAGUGUUUGCUGCCAUCUCUUUCUUAUCUGUGCAUCAACCAUUGUUUUGCCAUGUAGAAAAGGUAUCUCACAUUCCUUGCGUCAAGAUAGGCGAAGAAGUGAUCAUAAGAUAUGAGCUCUCUCUCCCUCUCGCUCACAUACAAUGUACUUAACACAAACACUCAAUCUGAUUUCUAUUAUUAUUUUGCUCAGUAAAUUUUGUUUAAAUUUGCUUUAUUUCUCAUUGCACUUGUUCUGCUGAUCACAACUUAUAUCCUAUUUAAAUCUCAAAUGCUGAAUAAUGAGCAGUCUUUUCGCAGGACAACAUAUCUUCUCUUGGAGAGCUAUUCAUUUGCAAGGUUUCUUUAUGGGUCAUUUCCAGAGGAGGGUUUACUAUUUAAUAGAAAGGUUCACCUGGAAUAUCUCAACUGACACAUUCCCAAAUACAGGCAUUGAAUGCACAACAUUUUGAGGUACUAUUUUUGUAAUAAAAAUGUACUUGAGUCUCAUUUGAGCUAGUUUAAAUUGUAUUCAAUGUCUAUGGAUAACCUGUGAGCUUAAGUUGUAAGAUAAAACUCACAGUAUAUUAUUAGGGUUUAGGGUUCAACUGUUCAACAGGUGAGCUUAAGUUGUACUUUCCUAGGUACUGCAUGUAUAUAAUCUUAGUAUCAACACUUGGUCUUAUGUGGACAAGAGAGAACAUUUGAGGAAUUACAAAAUCUUCUUAGUGAAUUAAUGUUGUUUCAGCUCUGUUUGUCAUCCCUCACAUUUUCUUUGUUAAGCCUUGAUUUUUUAUUAGACAUAAGAAAAAAUGCUUUUAUAAGACAGGAGAUGAAUGCUUUUAUAUGUUGAUGUCGUAGUCAGUCUUCAACCACACUCUGUUUUUAGAAUUCAUUUAUGUUACUAGUUGAGUGCUGCUGUAUUUUAUAUUUCGUUCCUGUAAUGUUUGGAUGUUUAGCUUGAGCAGUCUAGCUUAUCCAGUAGAUAACUUGUUCCCUGUUUUGUAAUGUUUUUGUUUCCUCUAAUGAAAGCAGGUUUUACUUAUCUUGAACUGCAGAAGCCUACUUUUUGACAUAGGUGGCAUGGCACAAACUCGCAUCCGCAUUUCCUUCCCCAUUGGCAUGCUGUCUCAUCUUUUGUAUUCUGUUACCAGCUUGAAGCUUGUGUAGACAUGUUAUGCUCUUGUAAUUCUGAUCACAAACAUCACUUGACAAAUGGAAAGUCACAAUCAGAUCUUUCAGGUGAUCGGGAGGUUUACUUUCUAACAUUUGUUUUCAUUGGGGGGAGGACAACAAUACAGAAUUUAAAAUUUCUGAUAAUCAAUAGUAGUUUGCAUAUAUCAGCUGGGACCUGUAUGACUGUAUUAUGUAAUUAAUUAUUUCUCUUAUUGUUUUGGUACUGUUAAAAGGAGUUAGCCACAAAAUAAAAAAGGAGGCCUCUUAUUUCAUACAAUUUUUCAAAAGUGAUCAUUCAUCCGUUUCUUUUUCAACAAUAGAGGAAUGUAUACUAAUCGUCUGGUCCAUCUGCUGCUUCACUCCCUAGUAGCUUCAUCUCCUGUCCUUUGCUUUAUUUCUGUUGAUGAAUGUUUUGUCUGGGUUAUUUAUUUUCAUUUCAUGUCCAUUGCUUCAUUUCUGUUUGGAUUCUGUCCUGGACUUGAACAAGGGUUAGGUUAGCUGUAUAAUUUGCGGUUUUAUAUACACAACUGUCUACAUUGAUUAAAACCAGCAUUAUUCUAAGGUUCAUUUAGAAUGUAUUAUCACCAAAAUUAUAAAGUAUACUUCUAUUACAAUUAAUUUGUUGAUUCUAAUUUGGACUUGUAGGAACAGACCAAACAUGUUCAUACGUGGCAUUGCUCAAGUCAUCAUCAUUCGGGACAGAGAAUAAGCCUUCAAAUGUCUGCUGAGUCAAUGAACCUUUCUAGAUAUCUCAAGUGUAGUGGAAAUUGAUGAGUUACAAAGGAUUUUUAAACAUUUUCUACUGGAGGCUAGAAAUGCUUCAAAUAAAUGACUGUGUUGCAAUUAUUUUGUAGGAUCAAAGACUCUGCAAAGAGGUAAGAAAGUCAUCAUCAAGUAACUUUGCUCUUCAAACUUUUUAAUUUUAUUUUUAAAUAUCAGUAAUAACUGGGAAAGUUUGCAUUUCCUUAAAUUGCUCAUUCUUACAUCUUUUAUAGUUUGUUGAUCUUGGGCAAGUGGAGAGAGAGGCGUCAAGUGAUACACAACAACCAUUUUCUGUGAGCUGAUUUGAUAAAGAGAAAUGGUAUGCUUUCUUGUCUUAAGCGGUGUGUUCUGCAAUUAUUUGAAACAAAGGAUGCCGCACUUCAAGUUCGAGAAAAUCAGGUAUUUUAGUAUUUUAUUCUGGAGAAAUUUGAUUUAUGUAGAAACUUGAACAUGUAAAUGAGAGAAAAAAAAAUUUAUAUAUAUAUAUAUUAUAUUGUAUAUGCUCUUAAUGAGUUAAUAUGGUGCUUGCUCCUGGUUGGAAAUUUAUGUAGUCAUCUACCUAUGAUCAAAUAAAGAUGAAAAAUAAAAUAAAAUUGAGAGCAUCUUCCUCUCCCCUGCUUUGCUCAUCCCUUGUUCUUCCACUUCAGCCCCACUAUUACACCAUUUUUUCAGCCACAAUUAUAAUAGCUCCAUGAGCAUUAAGUCCUUUUCAAAUUCUGCUGACAUUCAAAAUUGGAAUUGCUGGUGAUAUAUGAUAGCAUCCUUGUCCGACCAAAAAGAAAAAAAAAAAAAGUUGAUAGCAUAUUGUACCAUUUUGGCCAGUGUACGCAAUAUUAUUGCAUCCAACUUUGCAUAUUAACAUCAGUGGCCACAGUUCCAUGAUUUGAGUGCACAGAAAGGUUUCAAAAGUUGUCCCACAAAGAACAGUCGUUCAAAGUGAAAGAGAGUUUUCAAAGCUUAGUUACAAGUUCAUGUUAUUUACAAUAUCAAAAAGCUUUCAUACUUGCUUACAAACCUGUAUUUCCAAGUUCUGCAAACCUUGGAAUAUCACUUCAUCCAAAUCCCCUUCCAAAGCAGGAAAAAUGGCAGCAGCUUUGAUUGGAGAGGCUCUCAUCUCUGCUUCUAUCGAGUUGUUGUGUGACAGAGUUACUUCAGCCGAGUUCAUAGACUUAUUUCAGCAGAAGAAACUUGAUGAAACACUCCUCAUGAACCUGAAGACGACACUGUUGAUUUUGUUUGCGGUGCUCAAUGAUUCAGAGGAGAAGCAAAUUGUGAACCCUGCUGUGAGAGAGUGGCUUAACAGCUCAAGCAUGCUGUCUUUGAUGCAGAGGACUUACUUGAUGAGAUUGACACUGAAGCUUUGCGAUGCAAG